UAGUAGAUUUCCCGAGUGACAGGUUGAGCGCAAGAUGGAGCACCAGGGACACGGCACCGGCGAGAAGAAAGGCAUCAUGGAGAACAUCAAGGAGAAGCUCCCCGGUGGCCACCAGCAGACCGCUGGCACCCACGGGCAGCAGGGACACACUGGAAUGACCGGCACGGAGAUGCAUGACACCACGGCCACCGGCGGCACCUUUGGGCAGCAGGGACACACCGGAACGACUGGCACUGGGACACACGGCACAGCCGGGACCGGCGAGAAGAAGAGCCUCAUGGACAAGGUCAAGGAGAAGCUGCCUGGACAGCACUAAGCCCGGUGUGCCCACGACCGCUACCUUCGCAGAAUAAUACUCCACCGUAUAUGAAUUGAUCGAGUCUAGUUCACCUAGCUCACUUGGUCAUUGGAGGAGCGAAUGUAUCUUUGCUUUAAGUUUUCACGGAAAUGUGUUCACUGUUUACGUUUGUUUACACUCUCUGUCGUGCAAAUUUCCUUUUUGUUCUUUUUUUUGGGCUAUCUAUUUUUUGACUAUCAGGAGGGCCAAAGCCACCCGGUUCCAUUAUCAAAUAACGAAACCAGAGUGAGUUCAACAUCAUGCAUAAAGGCAUGUUCAGGAGGGGGUAUACAGCGUGACCAGCAUAUCCCUCCGUUCCCCUAGGGUUUCCCUAGGGUCUACCUCUUCCUUCGGCGGCGCCGCCGAAGUCCACAAAUUCCCACGUGAAAAUCGGCCGGAUUGCUACACGCUUGCUGGUGAUCGGGUCGUCCCGAGGCAAUCGUCUUGGCACAUCGUUUGCAUGGAGUUAGGGGAUGGAGUUCGAGGAGCAGGAGGGUCGAAGGGAGCGCAGGCGGAGGAUUUAGGGCGGAAGGCUUUGGGAGCUGGAGAGGAGCAACUCCCGUCAUCAUCGGCGGCGGGGAUGGCUGCGGGAGGGGCGGAUGAAGCGAGGCGUAUGGAGGAGGAUCGGGAGGAUGGGGAUGAGGAGGAAAAUUGGGAUCACCAUGGCCCAGAUCCGAAUUUGGAAGACGUGUUUGAAGGACUAAAUUUGCAGGGGGAGGAGGUGGAUGAUCUCGAUCUGUCAGGAGAGGUUGAUGAGUUGAUCAAGGAUGUGAGGUGGCUGGCUCUUUUUAGGGUUCAUACCCUACGUCCGUUCGGUCAUGCGGCGCUGUUAAACUCUAUGAGGAAUGCAUGGGCGUGUGCUCAAGGUGUGACGUUCAAUAUAAAGGGACCUAAUUUGUUCUUGGCGCAAUGCCAUUGUUUGGGAGAUUGGAAGAGGGUCAUGGAAGGAGGACCAUGGCAGUUUAGAAGAGAUCCGGUGGUUUUGGUUGAAUAUGAUGGGUUUACUAAUGUCUCUGACUAUACGUUGGACAUGUACCCACUUUGGGCAAGGAUCAAAGGCCUGCCUGACGGUCUAACGAGGAAGAAAGAACUGGCUGAGAAGGUGGCAAAGAAGGUAGGGGAGCCUCCGUUUACGGUGAUUGUCAAUGAAGGCAAGAUCAAUCCUUCGAGCUACUUGAGAGUUAGGGUGUUCGUUAAUGUUAAUAAGACGCUGGUGAGAUUUGUGCCAAUAACCUAGAAGGAGAGGAAGAAAUACCCAGUUUACUACGAAAAGCUGCCUGAUUUCUGUUUGUUUUGUGGAUGUAUGGGACAUGUGGUCGAGGAACGUGGAGAUGGGAUACAUGAUCCGUCAUCGUGUGAAUGGGGUGACUAUUUGCAUUGGAGUGGAGAACCAAUAAACAAUGGUGCAAGGGGAGGUCGAGGUGCCUGGUCUGAGUCACGUAGAGAUAAUGCGGCUGGGGAAGGAGUACGGGGCGGUAGAAGAGGAGGUGGAGGUAGGGGUGACAGAGGAGGGAGAAGCUUUGGGACUGGAGGAAGGGGUGCUGGAGUGCAUCCGAGUGUACCUGAGGGGGUUGUUGAGGAAGGCGAGCAGGGCGGGCUAGAUCAGGAACGCUCGGCUCGUAAAAGACUCGUCAGAGAUGAUGGUACAGUUAAUCUACGUGGGCAGUUGGUUCCUAACCUGGGAGGGAAGGUGGCUGAUACUGUGCUUUUUAUUGAGUCCGGCGCCGGGAUUGGAAUGCCGAGCCCGAGUGCAGCGGCCUCCACACUGGGAAAGAACCCCAUAGUGAAAAGGUUGCGUCACAGCGGAAGUGGGGACCAGAUGAUUGUCAUUGAGGAUAUGGGUACCUCUUAUGCGGCGGCCUCCGAGUCGGAGGACCGCCAGGUCCAAUGAAUUGCUUAAGCUGGAACUGCCGGGGAGGGGGGAAUUCCCGGACAGUUCGUGAGCUGACGACCCUUUGUAGGUCAUAUUCCCACAUGUUUGUGUUCCUGUGUGAGACGAGACAGAAGGAAGCGAAGAUGAAGAGAUUAAGAGGCCGGUUUGGCUUGAAGGGCUUUUGUGGCGUUGAUAGUUCAGGCAUGAGUGGUGGCCUGGCGGUAUAUUGGCAUGAAAAUUGUGUGGUUGAAGUGCUUGACAAAGAUGAUCGUCAUGUUGAUGCCCUAGUUCAGGUGCAGGAAGGGGCGGAUCAGUGGAGAAUUACGUUUGUAUAUGGAGAACCGCGGGUAGAAAACCGGCAUCUCAUGUGGGCAAAAAUACAGAAUUUGAAAACUGUCAAUGAUCUUCCGUGGUUGGUUUUGGGGGACUUUAACGAAGCAAUGUGGGAUUUUGAACACUUUUCAGCUACUCCAAGACCAGAGCCGCAGAUGAUAGCAUUCAGGGAUGUGUUGGAAGUUUGUAGUUUAGUAGACUUGGGAUUUUUGGGGGUUCCUUUCACCUAUGACAAUAAAAGAAGUGGCUCGAGCAAUGUUAGGGUGAGGCUGGAUAGGGCCGUUGCAACAAAUGAUUGGAGGAAUAUAUUCCCCUUUGCCUCUGUACAACAUAUUCUAAGUCCUUGUUCGGAUCAUGUGGAUGUACUUCUCAAGGGCGAGGCGGAUUCUGGACCGGUUGGGCCGAAACAUCGCCGAUAUGAGAUCUUCUGGGAGCGGGACUCCACGCUGCCGGAGGUCGUCAAGAACGCGUGGGAAUCUGUUGGCAAUGUCCAAAAUUUGGAGCAGUUGCGAGAGGCGCUAACCAAGACAAUGGUGUCGUUGGGUUCUUGGUCCAGGAAGUUCGGGAAUGUUACAAAGGAGUUAGCUAAGUCCCGUUCACAGUUAGAAGAGCUCAUGCAUAUGAAUGCGGAUCGACAAGAAAUAAGGAAAGUGACAGACAGGAUGAAUGAUCUUUUGUACCAAGAGGAGAUGAUUUGGCUUCAAAGAUCGAGAAUUUCAUGGCUUAAGGAGGGGGACCGCAACACAAAGUUUUUUCAUAGUAAGGUAGUGUGGAGGGCUCGUAGAAACAAAAUCAGGCAGUUAACGGAUAGUAUUGGAGUGGUCCAUUCAGAUUUGGUGUCUAUGGGUAAGCUAGUGAAUGAGUAUUUUCGGGAUGUCUUCACUGCGGAUGUUAACCUUGAUGCAGGCCAUGUGGUUGAUCUCUUUGAAGUACUUUGUCACGGAGGAGGACAAUAUUAAGCUAUGUGCUCCGUUUAGUGAUAAGGAAAUCUCUGACGCACUUUUUCAGAUAGGGCCACUUAAGGCGCCGGGCCCUGAUGGAUUUCCAGCCAGGUUUUUCCAGAGGAAUUGGGCGACUCUCAAGGACAGUGUGAUUGCGGCUGUCAAGGAUUUCUUCAGAUCCGGGGUGAUGCGAGAGGGAGUAAAUUCCACGACGAUUGUCCUCAUUCCGAAAGUUGCUAAUCCUACAAAGCUGACUGAGUAUAGGCCAAUCAGCUUGUGCAAUGUGAUUUACAAGGUCAUAUCUAAAUGUUUGGUUAAUAGGCUCCGUCCUCUCUUGGAUAACCUAAUCUCUGAUGAGCAGAGUGCGUUCAUUCCGGGUAGGAUGAUUACUUACAAUGCGCUGAUUGCCUUUGAGUGCCUACACUACAUCAAACAGGAAAAGUAUCCAACAAAAAGCUUUUGUGCUUAUAAGCUUGAUCUCUCCAAAGCUUAUGAUAGGGUGGACAGGGGUUUCUUGAAGCAAGUGAUGCAAAAGUUGGGGUUCUCUCAGCGAUGGAUAGACUGGAUUAUGACUUGUGUCACAUCGGUGAGAUAUUCUGUCAAAUUAAACGGAACUCUCUUGGAUUCAUUUGCACCGACGCGUGGGCUUCGGCAAGGUGAUCCCCUUUCACCAUUUUUAUUCUUGUUUGUGGCGGAUGGUCUUUUGGCGAUCCUAAAAAAGAAAGUGGCAUCUGGUCAUAUUACUCCUGUAAGAGUAUGCAGGCGAGCACCGGGCAUAUCCCAUUUGUUAUUUGCUGACGAUACCAUGUUGUUUUUUGAGGCAACUAGAGAUCAGGCUAAGAGCGUUAAGGAAGCUCUAGACUUGUAUGGUGCGGCCACUGGGCAAAGUCUCAAUUAUGGAAAAUGUUCUAUGUUCUUUGGUUCUUCUUGUCCGAACACAAUUCAAGAUGAGGUUCGACAGGUGCUGCGUGUGCAAAGUCUGGUUUUUGAGGAAAAAUAUUUGGGUUUGCCUACCCCUGAGGGUCGCAUGUCUAAGGGGAAGUUCCAAAACCUUCAAACAAGCUUGAUAAAACGCCUUAUUCAGUGGGGAGAUGGUCAACUUGCCCAGCCUGGUAGGGAGGUAUUAGUGAAAGCUGUUGCACAGGCGUUGCCAACCUAUAUCAUGGGGGUUUUCAAAUUGCCAUUUUCAGUUUGCGGUGAUCUUACAAGAAUGGUUAGAAACUUUUAUUGGGGCUCGGCAAAAGGAAAAAGAAAGGUCCAUUGGAGGGGGUGGGACCAUCUCAUGCAGCCAAAGGAUAGAGGUGGUGCAGGUUUUCGUGAUUUUCAGCUGUUUAACCAGGCGCUUCUGGCUCGGCAGGCGUGGAGAUUGAUUUCUAGGCCGAACAGUUUAUGUGCACUGGUUCUGAAAGCAAGAUACUAUCCGGAGGGCAAGCUUGAAGACACGGUGUUUUCUGGCAACGCUUCCUCCUCCUGGCAAGCAAUAAGCCAUGGGUUAGACUUACUAAAGAAGGGUCUGAUUUGGCGUGUGGGCAAUGGCAGGAGCAUACGAGUUUGGCGCGACAACUGGAUCCCAAGGCCUUUCUCAUAUAAACCCAUCUCACUGCAGGGCAGAUGUCGUAUUCGCUAUGUUUUCGACUUCCUGAAUGAGAAUGGAUCCUGGAAGGGGCAGUUACUGUCAGAGUAUUUCCUUGCUGCGGAUGUUGAUGAAAUACUAAAGAUUAGAGCUUCUCCGAGGCAGGCCGAAGAUGUUAUUGCAUGGGGUCCCAAUAAGCUGGGUGUGUUCACAGUAAAAAGUGCUUAUAUGUUGGCGUUUGAAGAAGCACAUAGAGAGAGGGCAUCCUCGUCUAGUUCUUCUCCAGAUGGGAGUAGAGCUUGCUGGUCUUACAUAUGGAAGAGCUUGGCGCCUCCGACCGUCAAGAACUUUGCUUGGCGUAUGGCGACUGAUGGGCUACCUACCUGGCGGAACAAGCAUAAAAUCGGAUUAGAAGUAUCAAGUACCUGUCCAGUUUGUGGUGUUGAAGAGGAAGAUAAUUUUCACCCCUUUGUGCGCUGCCAAUUUGGGAGAGACUUGUAUCUAGAGAUGGCCAAGGUUUGGAGGUUACCUAGUAUUGAUAAUCUGAUAAACAGUGGGAAGGAGUGGCUGCUUAUUGCCUUAUCUUCAUUAAGUGAUAUUGAGCGAUGCAUGAUGCUUAUGACCUUUUGGCGGAGCUGGUUCGUCCGAAAUGAGAUUACACAUCAAAAACCAGCUCCACCACUUGAAGUUUCGGUUCGGUUCCUGCAAAGCUACCUGGAGUCGCUGGUGGCGAUCAAACUGAAUUCCAACAUGGACCCGAUCAAGGGCAAUCCGUUGUGAUCCUAGACUCGUUGCCUUCACCGUGCAGGGCGGUUUCCCCAGAGAGUAGAUGGUCUAAACCAAGCAGGGAUUGUGUUAAACUAAACACUGAUGGGUCCUAUGAUUCUUCGAGAGCAGCGGGAGCUGGAAUGAUCCUUCGGGAUUCUAAUGGCGAAAUUAUAUUCUCAGCCUGCCGAGUUUUAUUUUCCUGCAGAGAUGCUCUGGAAGCGGAGUUAUGUGCAUGCAUGGAGGGGCUUUCGAUUUCUAUUCAGAGGUCAAAUCUUCCUAUUGUGGUUGAGAUGGAUUCGUCGGAGGCGGUGGCCAUGAUCAACUGUGUUGGCAAGGAUCGAUCGGUCUAUGCUGCUCUUAUUGAUGAGAUAAGAUAUCUUGUUAGUCUUCGUUCUACUUGCAUUACUCACGUUUCGCGAACUCAAAAUAAAGCUAGUGAUUGCCUAGCUACCUUCAGGAGAGUUGAGAGUAGAAUUAUGACCUGGAUUGGGUCAGGCCCCCCGGAGGUGGUACAGAUUGCUAAGGAUGAUUGUAAAGACUUGAUUAUUGAGUAAUACAAGUAUUUCUCCCCGCAAAAAAAAGGCAUGUUCAGGAAGGUAAAAGGUUACAUAAAACGCUCAGGAAAAAGUGAAAGGUGCAAACUUAUUACAACACGGGUAUCUUCAGAGUGUCGAAUACAUUCCGCUUUUCUCCCAUUCUAUGGUUUACAAUGUUUUAAAUAACUCAACUAUAGCCUUUGAGACCUCUCUCGCUAAAGCUAUGCACUUUUAAUGCUAAAUUAAUAUGACGGUAAUAGCCCGCAAUUUCCCGUUAUAAUGCUACCUUUGGAGUUAUUUAGCCCGCUAAGCCGCAAUACAAAACCAUCCUUUUGCAUUAUUUUUUGUUCUUGUUUAUGAUAUAUUUGACACAUUGAUGCGAAGCUUGGUUAUUGAAUUAGGACACCAGAUUGGUGCUAGGGUUUCGAUGUGCGAACAUGUGUAUAUAUCGAGUAUAUGCAAUAUAUCAUAUAUGAUGUUCAUUUUAUAAUUAUUUUUUUUUCAAUUUUGCAUGAAUAAAGGAAAACAAAAAACGGGGCUUAGCUUCGCUAUAGCUUUUCAUAGCAACGGGCCAAUCCGCCGCUAAAUGGCAUAGCCCGCUAUUUAAAACAUAGGGUUUUCAGCACGAUCCUCCAGACUGCAGUACCAGGGGCCACCCCCACUCCAGGCCGCUUGAGCUUCUUUGCAGGUUGAGCUGGAGAACUAGGUAGAUCCAGUGGUGUGACUGGGCUCGGUAGGGAGUGUUUGCAGGGGGCAUUGCCAGGACUCCUGGGACGUGAUGAUAGAGUAACCCGAUUCAGUUUGGCAAUGAGCACUUGAGAAAAAGCACCUUCAGCAUUUUGGUGAAGCUCCACUACCCACUGUGAUCUGAAAAGGGGUGUUUAGGAUCAAGGAAAUUUUGAGACAAAAUUCCUCUAUCUUCAACAGUGAGGCAUCCAUAAAUAAUAUCACCCGUCUCCUCAUGAGCCCUAGUGUCAAGUUCGAAACUUGUUUCAAAAUCAAUCCAGACAGUAUUAUAAAGAAUACAUGAAUUCCUAUGUUUCCACAUAGCCCACAACACACAAGCACAUGUAGAAUUUAAAUCACUGUGUUUCUUGUGGGCUAGCAAGAAUUUGGCAAUGGAGAGGUAAAUUUUUCCUAGUUCAUAGGAGAAGAAUUUUGAUACAGAAGCCCAAACUUGUUUUGCAACAACACAAUCAAAGAAUAAAUGGUGUAUGGAUUCCUACUCAGAACAAUAAACACAUUCUAGAGAUUUUCUACCACUACUAGGGAAAACGUUAUACACAGAACUUUAGCAGUAGCGCUUGUCAAAAAAGCUCGCUACUGCUAGACAGCAGUAGCGCGUGCCAAAUAAGCGCGAUGCAGAUGCAUAUAUAGCAGUAGCGCGUCUCGCUGAAAACUCUCUACUACUAAAAUUUCGACCACUAAGCCGAUGGGCUACACAUAGUAGUAGCGAUCUUUCAGAAACCGCGCUGCCGCUAAUAUUCUUAUAGCAGCGCGUUUACGUGCAAAGCGCUACUGCUAACGAAAAUAAAAUAAAAUGAAAAACAAAUAGAAAAGUAAAUGAAAAAUGAAAGAAAUAGAAAAAGGAGAAAGGAAAAAUAUAAAAUGUAAAGAAAAAUAAACGAAAAAGGGAAAAAAGGAUGAAGGAAUAGCAGUAGCGCGUUUGCGAAAACGCGCUAUAGCUAACUUAGCUAUAGCGCGUUUUCCCUAACGCGCUACCGUUAUUAUUGACUUAACCCAAAAAAUGGUUUCCCCCCGGCCACCACUUCUCCCCCAAAUCCCUCGCCCCACUCUUCGCCGCCGUCUCCCCCACCUCACCGUCUCCCCCACUUCGCCGCCGUCUCCUGCCGGCGUCGACGCCGCGCUCAUCCUCACCGCCGCCGCCCGAGGCCGCCCAACCUCACCGCCGCCGUCUCUCGGGCCGCCCUCGACCUCACUGUCACCGCCCUCGACCUCUCCGCCGCCGNNNNNNNNNNNNNNNNNNNNNNNNNNNNNNNNNNNNNNNNNNNNNNNNNNNNNNNNNNNNNNNNNNNNNNNNNNNNNNNNNNNNNNNNNNNNNNNNNNNNNNNNNNNNNNNNNNNNNNNNNNNNNNNNNNNNNNNNNNNNNNNNNNNNNNNNNNNNNNNNNNNNNNNNNNNNNNNNNNNNNNNNNNNNNNNNNNNNNNNNNNNNNNNNNNNNNNNNNNNNNNNNNNNNNNNNNNNNNNNNNNNNNNNNNNNNNNNNNNNNNNNNNNNNNNNNNNNNNNNNNNNNNNNNNNNNNNNNNNNNNNNNNNNNNNNNNNNNNNNNNNNNNNNUUUCUCUUAGCUUUUUCUUCCUCUGCCAUGUUAAUUAGCAGUAGUAGUAGAUGUUAAUUAGUACUAGGGUUCAUACAUAAUGAUUUUUAGUAGUAGUAGUAGAUGUUAAUUAGUAGUAGUGAUGGUACUAGUUAACUAGGGCAGUAUGUUUAAUAGUAGAUGUUUUUAGUUAGGGUAAUAAUAGAUGUUAAGUAGUAGAUAAUGUUGAUGUUAAUUAGUUCAGUAGGGUUUAGUUUUUGAAUUGAGUUUGUUUAACUAGAUGUUACUUAGGGCAGUAGGGUUUAGUUUAGAGUAAAGUAAUUUAGUUCAGUAGUUAAGUAAAUAUAAUCUAUAUUUGGUUUUUGAAUUGAGUUUGAGAGAGCAUGAGAUUUGUGUAGAUUUUCUUGUAGUGUCAAACGCUAGGACAUGCAAAUUUGAAGUGGUCAGGAUAUAUGCAAAUUCCUUAAUUAUGUUUACACAUGCAUGUUUCGAUUGUGCCCAAGUGGCCUUUUGUUGUUUCCAGGGAAUGAAGCCGAGUGGCCUAUGUUUUGCCGGAAUGUUGAUUCAUUUCCAUUCCGGCAAAUUUUAGACUCUCGAUUUGUCCACUUUUUAGGAAAGGUCAUGCCGAAAUUUUCCGUGAAUUUCGGCAUGACUUGUGCUACAAACUAGGACAUAUCGAGUGCCCGGGAUUUGCCGCACCAGGAAGGAGUCAACGUUCUUGCAAAACAUUAGGCUUUUUUAUGUCAUUAUUCAUUUUAUUAGGUCUAAAAUUAAUUGACUAGAUUUAAUCGUAGGAAACAUGGCUAGCAAUGAUGAAGGACAGGGUUCUGGUGAUUGCGACAACGUCUACCGGGCGGCAGACGAAUUUUUGAGCCUUGCUGACGAUCAACCGAUGUUGUUGCUGGGCCCACCGGUGGCAUCGGGGACUGAGACCGACACAUAGACCUGUGCUGAGACUGAGACCGGCGCUGAGACUCAGACCGGCAUCGAGACCGGCGCUGAGACUGAGACUGGCGCUGCCUCGAGGAGCGGAGCCGGUGUAGAACUGAAAGCAAAGAGGCAACGGCUUCCUAACAAACUCAGGACUACUAGACUGAUGGUCACGGAGGUGGACGACAGCAAUUUUGAGCUAAAUGCGCCCGAGGAAGCGCGCGCAUGCUACGGCAAUCAAAUAGGCUGCAUCGUACGGACAACCGCCACCAUCAACGAUGAGAAACUAUAGAAGAUAGAUAAUAUGAGGCCCUCCCUCCUAAAGAAGUUUCACCAGAUAUUCUUGUUCCCGGGCCGGAAUGAAAAGGAUUAUGAAGAUCCAGGUAAGGACCCGCUAAUGAAGAAGAUACAGAAACACACCAUGACCAAGUUUAGCGACGCGUUGGCCGCCUGGAAAACAAGGGUGAAAGCAAGGAUCAUCGACAAGAAGGAACCCUACUCCGACAUUGUAAAGUAUAAUCCGACAAUCACAGAAGAGUAGUUUCAAAUAUUCAAGGUGGCUUGCGAGGCCGAAGCUGGCAAAAAAAGUCUAAGUACAUGAAGGGGCUUCAAGAGAGGAACAUUGGGAGCCACCACCUAGAAAGCCGUGGUUACGGCGGGAAGAGGUCCAAAUGGGCCAAGGAGGACGCGGAAGCCGCGAGUCUGGGCAUCCCAGACCCCUUGGCGGAGUUCACCAUCUCGCAUGAGCGUGACAUCCUCAGGGCCCGGCACCGUUGGGACCCAGUGAAGAAGGUUUACGAGACAAAUGCGGUCACGACGGAGUUCAUUAGACUGCUGGUAAUUUUAGUUUUUGAUCAAUUCGACUGCACAUGUUAGUCAUAUUUAUAAACGAUCCUUGUGCCUUUUUGAUGUCUACUACGCAACCUUCUCCUUGUAGACGUUGUUGGGCCUGCAAGUGCACAGGUUUGUAGGACAGUAGCAAAUUUCCCUCAAGUGGGUGACCUAAGGUUUAUCGAUCCAUAGGAGGCGUAGGAUGAAGAUGGCCUCUCUCAAGUAACUCUGCAACCAAAUAACAAAGAGUCUCUUGUGUCCCCAACACACCCAAUACAAUGAUAAAUUGUAUAGGUGCACUAGUUCGGCGAAGAGAUGAAGAUACAAGUGCAAAAUAGAUAGUAGAUAUAGGUUUUUGUAAUCUGAAAUAAUAAAAACAGCAAGGUAACAAGCGAUAAAAGUGAGCGUAAACGGUAUUGCCAUGAUAGGAAACAAGGCCUAGGGUUCAUACUUUCACUAGUGUAAGUUCUCUCAACAAUAAUAACAUAGAUAGAACAUAUGACAAGCCCUCAACAUGCAACAAAGAGUCACUCCAAAGCCACUAAUAGCGGAUAACAAACGUAGAGAUUAUGGUCGAGUACGAAACCACCACAAAGCUAUUCUUUCAGAUCAAUCUAUAAAAGAGUUUGUACUAGAAUAACACCUUAAGAUACAAAUCAACCAAAACCCUAAUGUCACCUAGAUACUCCAUUGUCACCUCAAGUAUCCGUGGGCAUGAUUAUACGAUAUGCAUCACACAAUCUCAGAUUCAUCCAACCAACAUAAAAGUACUUCAAAGAGUGCCCCAAAGCUACUACCGGAGAGUCAAGAACGUGUGCCAACCCCUAUGCAUAGGUUCCCAAGUGUCACGAAACCCGCAAGUUGAUCACCAAAACAUACAUCAAGUGGAUCAAUAGAAUAACCCAUUGUCACCACAGUUAUCCCACGCAAGACAUACAUCAAGUGUUCAUAAAAGACUCAAUCCGAUAAGAUAACUUCAAAAGGGGAAACUCAAUUCAUCACAAGAGAGUAGAGGGGGAGAAACAUGAUAAGAUCCAACUAAAAUAGAAAAGCUCGGGAUACAUCAAGAUCGUGCCAUAGAGGAACACGAGAGAGAACACGAGAGAGAGAGAUCAAACACAUAGCUACUGGUACAUACCCUCAGCCCCGAGGGUGAACUACUCCCUCCUCGUCAUGGAUAGCGCCGGGAUGAUGAAGAUGGCCUCCGGUGAUGGGAUCCCCCUCCGGCAGGGUGCCGGAACGGGGUCCCGAUUGGUUUUUGGUGGCUACAGAGGCUUGCGGCGGCGGAACUCCCGAUCUAUCUUCUGUUCUGGAAGUUUUAGGGUACGUAGGUAUAUAUGGGUGCAGGGAGAACGUCGGUGGAGCUACGGAGGCCCCACGAGGCUGGGGGGCGCACCCAAGGGGAAGGGCGCCCCCCACCCUCAUGAGCACCUCCCAUAUCUUCUGACGUGGGGUCCAAGUCCAUCAGGUGGGUUUCCUUCCAAAAAUAACUUCUCUAGUUGAUUUCGUUCCGUUUUGACUCCGUCUGAUAUUCCUUUUCCUCGAAACACUAAAAUAGGCAUAAAACAACAAAUCUGGGUUGGGCCUCCGGUUAAUAGGUUAGUCCCAAAAGUAAAGUGGAUAAUAAAGCCCAAUAUUACCUAAAACAAUAGAUAAAGUAGCAUGGAGCAAUCAAAAAUUAUAGAUACGUUGGAGACGUAUCACUUUUGCAGAGAGAGCAGCAAAGGAGUGCGGCCGAAAGCGACUCGCCGUUUGAGGCAUUGGCGAGGCCCAAGUGGGACACUCCAUUCAACCGGUCGUUGAACAUAUUGAAACGACUCCCGGUGGAGACUCGACCGCCGUAUGGACGCGUGCACAGUGUCGGAGACGGCGCCACAUGGAAGAAGUACUACCGUGUGACCACGGAGGAGAGAAAGGAAAGACGGAGGUUAACUGAAGAAAACAUCGAUAAGAAGGUUGAGAUUGCGGUUGAGAAGAAAUCAUCUCGGACAGUCGCAACAGCGGUAAUCCUCUACCCCGAUACUCCCACGCUCUUUACUUGGACUCAUCGAAGAACAUUCACAAAAAGGAUUACACCCACAUCAAGGAUGUUCUCGACAGUGCUAUGUUUUACUACCAAGCAUGGGGUGGAGAGGUCAAGGACAAGAAGAGAAGGGGCGGCAGGCUCGCCUUCGGCCAUAAGACCGACUUCUGCUGCAUCCAGCAACCGAGUGAUUCUCUUAAUGAUGGAUUCUAUGUCCUACACCACAUGCUGGAGUACAGACGGGAUCACCAGAACCUUCGCAUGUCACCUAGAUCCGGCGAUGCCCAUAUUCUGCAAUGGGCAAAGAACGUAGGAGAUAUCGAGGAUCAUCGACUUUGAGCUGAGUUCUAUAACAUCCAGCGCGAACUUGCCCAAAUCAUCAUGAAGGAAGUCGUCGGAAAAACAGGGAUGUUCUACGAAGAAGGACAAAUGUCGCGGGAAGACGUCCGAACAUGGGUAUCCUCUCAGCGUCUCGACAUGAAGCCUUUCACUAAACUCGGGGACUAUCUCCCUGACAUCGAUGGAUGGCACGACAUGUUGGAGUGAUUGUUGAUAUAUGACAAUGUGUCCGUUUAGUCCAUACUUUCUGUACGACAAAACUUUGAGUUAUGCACGGCAAAACUUUAUUUGUGAUGUAAUUAAACCGUCCUCCUCCUCGAGUAGCGAAGAUCACUCUAGUUAGGGCAUUUUAGGUAUGAUGAACUUUGUUAUUUAUGCUUAUGAUAUGUUGUUUCUAUUUUGCCAAGUCUGUCUCUUUAUGUUGCUCAACUAUAUAUGUUGCAUAUCAUCGACUAAUGUGACGAUGCAGGUGCAUAGAUCAUCGAUGGAGAAGAAGUGCUACGCCAGGAGUAUAUAUACGAUGAGUGGCUGGAGUGUCAGGCAUAGGUGUACCGGUUUCCGGUUUUCGAGCGAUAGGCAGUAGUUAGUUUAGGUUCACGCUAAUGCGAGAGAGGGAUACGAACUCAUGUACUGCAUAGUUCCGCUCUCACUCAAAGUGAUAUCUCUUCUCGUGUAUAUCACUGUUUAGAUGGAUGACGAUGUAUUUGCAUGUAAUCGAGACUUGUAUCGCUAUUUUCGAGAUGAUGACGAGAGACCACUUUGUGUUGGAUGAUGAUUAUGAUCAUGACAUGAUUUGAUGAGACUAGUUGUAUGUAUAUGCUAUGAUUACAUUUGUAUGUGUAUGAUAUGCUAAAGAUUAUUGUAUAAAGCCUAUUCAAAUACAAAACAAAUAUGCAAAAAAAAUAAUAAAACUAGUAGUAGCGAGGGGGGAAAGUUAGCAGUAGCGCCGCCUUACCAGUAGCGCUUCCCUGUAAAAAGCGCUGCAGAUAAUAUCAUUAGUGCUCUUCAGUGAAGCGCGGUACAACUAUCCAUGUAUAGCAGUAGCGCCUUAUCAGUAGUGCAUCUUCCCGCGCUAUUGAUUGGCCUAAAAUCCGCGCUGCUGCUAGGCUUUUCCCUAGUAGUGUACCCCUCUUUUACACUACCAGGGAAAUGCUUAUAGGUAGGACAUCAGUAGUAGCGCUGGAAAAAAAGGAAUCGCUGCUGCUAAUUAGCAGCAGCGCUUGUCCGGGUACGCACUACAAUUAAUGCUUUAGAAGUAGCGUUGGAAACAGAAAAGCGCUACUACUAAGUGGGACCCAACGCUCCCACCGACGCUAGUUGUAGUAGCAACGCUGUCCAGAAAACAACGCCACUACUAAUAUUUUAGCAGUAGUGCUUUAUUUUACAGCACCGCUACUACUAACAGGCCUCACUUUGUAGUAACGCUGCUUCCUGAAAAGCGUUGCUGCUAAGUAGCAUAGCAGCAACGCUUUCUGGGAAGCAGCGCUACUGCUAGUUGCGGCUGGUGCCACGUUUUCACCCCCUCCUCCUCCCCCUCCUUUCCCCACUUCUUUCCCCCCUCUCCACCAUUGUUGCCCUUCUUCUCUCUUCCUCCUACCUCUCUUCUAUCCUCAUUAAUGUCCCCCUCCAUCAUAACUCUCCUCCAUAAAUGGUCUUCUCAUCUCUCUCUUCCUCGUACCUCUCUUCUUUCCCCAUUAAUGCCCCCUCCACCAUAACUCCCUCUCUAUUAGUUAGCUAGAGUCAUUUCUCCUCCCCAACAACUAGAUCUAGCUAGCUAUUUAGCCAUCCACACUUUCGAUCCCUAUAGGUAGCGAAAGGCCUCAUCUAACCGUGCUCGGUCUCUCUCGGGAGAUAUAUAGGUGAGUAAAAAGUUGUUCAUUUCAAGAAUGGGAAUAUGUGUGUUUGGGGUAUGGAGAGAUUUGUGCGAGUGACAUGCCCCCGAGUUGCUUAUGUUUUGCCAAAAUGUCUAUUUAUUUCCGUUUCGGUGAAUUUCAAGCAAAAUCGACAUGUCCUACUUUUAGGCAAGGCCAUGCCAAAUUUUUAUAUGACUUUGAUGCAUGGAUGCAUUUUGUUUAUAACCCUUUUGCUUGUUAUACCGUGCAGUCGGUCAUGAAGGUGAGUGGAUGGAACAUGGAGCGAUACAUGCAAUCCGCGGUGAUGGACAUGUAUGCAAAUAAUCGGACUAGGAUUAGAUGUUCGUGUGCAAGAUGCAAAGAAGGAGUCCUUUUGGACCCUUUUGAUCGUGGCACUUUGAAGGCGCACCUGCUGAUGAAUGGUUUUAUGGAUGGCUAUACUCGAUGGAUAAGUGAAGAAGAUGAUGAUGAUGACGAGGACGUCCACAUGGCAGGGAAUAACGACAUGGGGCUAGAUGAAGAGAUGACCGAUUGACACGAAGACGAUGAUGGCGCCGGACAUGGCGGUGGGGAAGAGUCCGGAAAUGAUGGCGGCAGAGAAGAUUCUGGACACGCGAAGAAGAGUCCGGACAUGGCGGAGAAGAGGCAGACGUCAUGCUGCAGUCUUCGACGCUACUAAGUGCAGUCGUGCAAGACCCUCAUGUUCGAGACCUCCUAGCAAGAGUACGACUAGCGAGAGAGUUGCUUCUAGAGAGUAGGCAAAGCUGGUGCAACUUAAAGUAGACUCGAAGACUCCAUUGUAUGACGGUUGCGACCCGACAUGACCCGCUUGAGUUUCACGCUCGAACUUCUAAAGACGAAGGCCAACAAAUGGACAGACAAAAGCCUCGAUGAGCAUUUGAAGUAUCUACAUAAUAAAGUUCUUCCCGCGGGGAAACUAUGUCGUAAUAGUGUUCAGGAGGCCAAGAAAAUCAUUUGCCAUUUUGAUUUGCCGCACAUUAGGUACCAUGCAUGCAUCAACAAUUGCAUCAUUUAUCCGGGGAAGCACACGAAAAAAACCAGCAGUCCAGUGUGCAAUGCUUCUCGAUACAAGAAGGCAGGAAAGAAAGCUCCUCAGAAAGUUGUAUGGUACUUUCUGAUCACUCCCCGUCUGCAGUGGUAUUUAGUAGAUCCUAAGGAAGCAAAGCUCAUGCGCUGGCACACGGAGAGGAAGAAGCCCGACGAUGGAGAUGAUCCGAAGCUGAGACACCUCAUAGAUGGUAGCCAGUGGAGAGUGACGGUGUCCUGGACUAGGGGGUACUCAACACGUCGUCUCCCGAUCAGUUGGAUUGGGCCCAGGACCCCCAUGGCCGUAUACUCAUGGGCCAGUCCGGACAGCUGCCGCAUACAAGGAAGAAUCCACAAGACUUGGCGAUCAAGACAAGGACUCCUCCCCCACCGGCGUAUUCGGCUAGGACUCAUGUUAUCCUAGGCCUCUGGUGCAUUAUAUAAACCAAGGCCAGGCUAGUCGAUAGAGAUAUACAACAAUCAUACCAUAGGCUAGCUUCUAGGGUUUAGCCUCCUUGAUCUCGUGGUAGAUCUACUCUUGUACUACCCAUAUCAUCAAUAUUAAUCAAGCAGGACGUAGGGUUUUACCUCCAUCGAGAGGGCCCGAACCUGGGUAAACAUUGUGUCCCUUGCUUCCUGUUACCAUUGAUCCUAAGACGCACUGCUUGGGACCCCCUACCCGAGAUCCGCCGGUUUUGACACCGACAUUGGUGCUUUCAUUGAGAGUUCUGCUGUGUGAUCGGCGAAAGGAUCAAUGGCUCGACAGUAGGUUAACUGCGACGUUGGCUUCUUCAUCACCAGCUCGACUGGUCACCUUGGCUUCACCGAGGACUGCACCCUACCUCCGACCGUCAUGUUCGGAAGAGGGCCUUCAUCAACACCAACUCUGAUCUCUAUCAAGAUCAUGGAGGAGUCAUCCAGGGAGCUCGGGGGCUCAACAUCAACAUUGCCCUCAGGCGACCGUGCUAUGUCACCACUUCGGAGUGCCGAGCUCUUUGCUCCGCCACCUCGGGACCGGCUCUGGGAUGGAACCUUGUCCAGCAUCAAGCUCGGACCGCGUCAUCAGUACCGAACACAUUAACCAGCUAAGUUGUCUUCAUGCUCAAAGUUUUAAACUUGUGUUCGGCUCGGCCAAGCAUUAUACUUUUUUGGAAAAAAGUUGCUUGUAAAAAUUUCCUUGUCCAAACUUUGUUUGUGACGCGCAAAUUCAAAUACCCCGUUUACUUGGGGGGCUUCCUUCAUGAAGCUUUUUCCUCUCGCAUAUGGUUAUACUUGUACGGCUUCGUUCCUUGUUCGUGUAUUACGCCACAAUAUGCACCAUAUUGACUUAAGCGAUUUGCAAGCUGGGUUGCCUGGCUCCUGUGCUUACCCCUACGUUCCCGAUUGUUCGGCUAGGGAGUAAAGGGAGCACCUCUGCGAUUGUCACGAUCGGGUCACCCGAGCCGGACCUCAGACUGGGUGAAGCCGAAAGCUAGCGCUCUUAUUGUUUUCAAUCAUGGUCGGCACACAACGGAACUCAUGAGUACAAAAAAUCUGUUGCUCAAGUCUCAUAAUAAUAAUGAGCACCGAAGAAAGGUAUCGGUGGGGGUACUAUUUUCUUCGAAGAUGCUUCUUACACUUUGCAGUAAUAUAGCAUAAGUUCCCUGAGCGCGCUUUGUCUGUUACAGCCUUAUGGCCUAUUGCCUGGUUAUUGGAAACACCGUCGAUAUUCUCGACAGAUGGAGUACAUAACACUUUUCGGUCCUUGACCGAAGAGGGAGAAGCCGACGGUCGGUUAAGACGCGUUUAAAGUUCGGUUGAACAUAGAUAUGAUAUAAGUACUUCGGUACAUGCAAUCAUUCUUUUACCCAAGUCACUUGGGGGCUCUUAAAUUUAUAUGAGCCGUUUUAUGAUAAGUGUUUUUCUUCUUAGUCGUUGCAAAGUUUUUAUUAUUAUUUAUCACUCCUUUUUUCGACACAAGUGUGUGGUCACUAGCCGGGGAGCCUAAUUUGUCUCUCAAAGAAGCCGUAGGCUGACCCACUUGAAGUUUUGAGAUAGGAUGUGUCAUGUUAAAGCACGGCAAAAGCACCUUUUUUUAAAGUCCAAUUUUCGGAUUGGCACCGAACACUUGAUCUAGUUCGGACAUUAACCUUUUGAAUAAGUUUUUUGGCUUUUCGAGCCCAUGGCACUUUUAAACUAUUUGUGUGUUUUUAGCACAAGUCUCGCAGUGCAACGCCGGACACCUUUAGAGAAUCGGCAAAAACAUUCUCGGAUAUUGCUAUAUAUGCAUCGGUUUCGAAUUGUGUCUUCGGUCAAUAGUUGGGUUGCCCGGCUCCUGCGCUUGCCUCCUAUAUUCCGCUUUGUUCGGCUAGGUGUGCAAAGAGAGAACCACUGCGAUUGUGCUUUCAGCUCACAUGGUUAAGCACCUCAGUGGAGAAAGCCGAAAAAAAACUGUCACAAUAAGCGUAAACUGGUCGGCGAUCCGAUGACGGUGUUAAACGACGGGCCAUUCAUAACCAUAGCCGAAGUGUUUACGGCUUGACCUCGACUAUCGCCGAACACUACCGGGGGCUAUUAACUGGCCUCCCAAACUAAAUCCUCGAUAUUUUGCUCUUACACUGGAGCUGAGGUUUCAUGAUCAUGCUUAGCAUGACAACCCAAAGAAAGGAACCGAUAGCGGGACUAUUUUCUUUGGAAGACAUUUCUUCUGUUAAACAGUAAUAUAACAUGUCUCUCCGCGUACCUUUGUUUAUAAAACCGUAUGGCCAGAUUGCCUCGUUUGUUGUAAAUCUUUGCCCUCAUAAAGGCUUUAUAAAGUAGGACAAACACUCCUCGGCUAUUGGCCGAGGAGGUAGAAGCUGAUGGUCGGUCAACAAAGUUUUAUACAAUGCGGAUCCGAGCAUUAAUGACGUAAAGUACUUGGAUACAUAGAGUCAUUACACAUAAUUUGUGAUUUUACUAUGGAUAUCGAUCCUUAAUUCGGCCUCCCGUGCCUGCAUUAAGGCUCGGGGGCUACUGGGCUUCGGGCUUGUUAUUUACAAAUAUUAAAGGGGCACAUCAAUCCCCUGAUCUAGUGUUACCACCCGACCAGUGUCUUGGGGGCUACUGCAUUGCCUGUUCUAUGCAGAAAAUUUUAAGUGCAAUACAGUUUCCGAGGAGAUUUUGAUCCUCAGGUUGGUCGGCCACACCCAACCCGAGUCUUGAGGACUGAGCACGCCGCUUUUUGUGUCCCGAAGUAUUCUGCCGAGCUAGGACUUGAUCCUCAAACCGAUUUUGCAAAUCAACCUGAGUCUCAGCAGCUACGGGGAUCAGCGGUCUUAUGUCAUCCUUCAUGGGCAUCUCGGGUUUUAGACCGAUACCCACCUUGAGGGCUACUGGCUAUGUAUCUCGGCAGAGAAUAAAUUACACCAAUCAAAAAUAUUGGCAAAAAUCAGCCCACAUUCGGGGUGGUGCACCACCUGGGAAGCUGUCCGGCAUAAAGCUCGGGCACUAGUGGCUGGCUCCAUAGAGAGCAUUUCCGGCGUUAAGCUCGGCUAAACUCCUUCAAACUUCUUUGAACCAAGGUGAUUUACGACACCUCGGAUAUAGUCCGGCGUUGGAGCUCGGAUACAUAGUCUGGCGUUGGAGUUCGGAUACAGUCCGGUGUUGGAGCUCGGAUACAGUCCGGCGUUGGAGCUCGGAUACAUAGUCCGGCGUUAGAGCUGGUAAGCAGUCCGACAUUGGUGCUCGACUGCAAAAGAUACCUCGAAUGCAGUCCGGCGUUAGAGCUGGUAAGCAGUCCGACAUUGGUGCUCGACUGCAAAAGAUACCUCGAAUGCAGUCCGGCGUUGGAGCUCGGAUGCAAGAGGACGUUGCCGCCCGGGAACAACUUCAAACCCGAGGUGUGGCAUAAAAAUAACAAGGCAUUGAUAAAGGCCGGAAACUUAAAGGGGCUCCUCGGAUACCCGACGUAUAAACUUGUCGAAUGCAUUUCGGUAAUCCUCAAGAUCGAAGAUGAGAAGAUUUGUUGAACCAGUUUUCAAGACCGGCAACCGAAGAUGAAGAACAGUUCGGAAGAAUCGAGGAGCGUCCCUAACUUGAAGACCGGUUCAGGGGCUACUGACGGUGUCCUGGACUAGGGGGUACUCAACGCGUCGUCUCCCGAUCAGUUGGAUUGGGCCGAGGACCCCCAUGGCCGUAUACUCAUGGGCCAGUCCGGACAGCUGCCGCAUACAAGGAAGAAUCCACAAGACUUGGCGAUCAAGACAAGGACUCCUUCCCCACCGGCGUAUUCGGCUAGGACUCAUGUUAUCCUAGGCCUCUGGUGCAUUAUAUAAACCGAGGCCAGGCUAGUCGAUAGAGAUAUACAACAAUCAUGCCAUAGGCUAGCUUCUAGGGUUUAGCCUCCUUGAUCUCGUGGUAGAUCUACUCUUGUACUACCCAUAUCAUCAAUAUUAAUCAAGCAGGACGUAGGGUUUUACCUCCAUCGAGAGGGCCCGAACCUGGGUAAACAUUGUGUCCCUUGCUUCCUGUUACCAUUGAUCCUAAGACGCACUGCUUGGGACCCCCUACCCGAGAUCCGCCGGUUUUGACACCGACAGAGAGAAUUCAACACUUUAUAUGGAUUUGAUGUAGAAGAUCCAAGGAACAUCGUGCUUGGUGCGAGUACCGAUGGCAUGAAUCCGUUUGGAAACCAGAACACCAACCACAACACAUGGCUCGUCUUUGUAUGGAUGUACAACAUCCCCCCAUGUAAGUGCAUGAAGACAAAGUACAUACACAUGAGCAUGCUGUUUCAAGGGUCGAAACAACCGGGAAAUAAUAUUAACCUGUAUGUGGGGCUUCUGAAAGAGGAGCUAGACACGUUAUGGGAAACACCGGCAUGGACAUGGGAUGCCAACAAAGGAGAGUAUUUCUAUAUGAGAGCCACGCUGAUGAUGACGGUGCACGACUAUCUCGGUUACGGUACACCUCAGGCCAGGUGUGCCACAGAUACUGCGGAUGCACGAGGUGCAUGGAUGAUACAACGUCUCAGCAGCUUAGGUCAAUGAAAGAUGUCGGGUCUGGGAAAAUUGUGUACAUGGGGCAUCGUAGAUGGCUCGAGAAGGAUGACCCGUGGAGAAAGCAUAGAUAUCUAUUCAAUGGGUUGGCUGAGCAUCGAGGACCUCCACAUAAGUGGAGCGACGCCGCAAAUCAACGAGCUAUUGAAAAACUGGGAAUAGUGCCCCGCGCCGGGAAAGAUGAAAAAGGCACAGGAGCCGCUGCUGAAGGUAUGGAAAACUAGGUCUGUUUUCUGGGACUUGGAGUACUGGCCCAAUCACGACACGCCUCAUCAAAUGCAUAUCACGAAGAAUGUCCUCGAGAGCUUGCUUGCCACACUGAUGAACAUGCUGGAGAAGACCAAGGACAGGCUGAAGGCAAGGAAAGACUUGGAAGAUUUGAAGACUAGGAAAUAUCUCCACCGCAAAAGUCGAUGGAGGAGACGAAGAUGGAGACGGAGGAGGGGGAAAGGGGCAGAAAAUUCAACAAGAAGGAGGAGAAUUAUUGCCCCCCUUCUUGCUUCACCUUAAGUGCGAAAGAUAUCGAUCAAUUCAUCAAGUGCCUUAUGGGAAUCAAAAUCAGCUCCGGUUACUGUGGAAGAUAAUAAGAUUUCUAGACCCCAAGAAGAAAAAGGUUCAGCGGGAUGAAGUAUCAUGACUAUCACGUGAUGAUGACGCAGAUACUCCUGGUUGCCAUUAGAGGGAUAAUGGACAAGCACGUCCGUGACACGCUUACUGGUCUCUGCAACUUCUUUGACGUUAUUUCUCGAAAGUCCAUAAGUGUGAAGCAGCUCCCAAGGCUACAGGAAGAGAUCGUUGUCAUACUAUGUGAGCUUGAGAUGUACUUCUGCUACGUCUUGAGCUUGUGUUGGUUUUCCUUGAGGAGGAAAGGGUGAUGUAGCAAUAGUAGCAUAAGUAUUUCCCUCAGUUUUUGAGAACCAAGGUAUUAAUCUAGUAGGAGGCUCCUCAAAAGUCCCACGCACCUACACAAACAAACAAAGAACUCGCAACCAACGCAAUAAAGGGGUUGUCAAUCCCUUCACGGCCACUUGCGAAAGUGAGAUCUGAUAAAGAUAGUAUGAUAAGAUAAAUAUAUUUUUGGUAUUUUAUAAUAUAGAUGCAAAAAGUAAAGAUGCAAAUAAAAGUAGAUUGAAAGCUUAUAUGAUAAAAGAUAGACCCGGGGGCCAUAGGUUUCACUAGUGGCUUCUCUCAAGAUAGCAUAAGUAUUACGGUGGGUGAACAAAUUACUAUCGAGCAAUUGAUAGAAAAGCUAAUAAUUAUGAGAUUAUCUAGGCAUGACCAUGUAUAUAGGCAUCACAUCCAUGACAAGUAGACCGACUCCUGCCUGCAUCUACCACUAUUACUCCACACAUCGACCGCUAUCCAACAUGCAUCUAGAGUAUUAAGUUCAUAAGAACAGAGUAACACUUUAAGAAAGAUGACAUGAUGUAGAGGGAUAAACUCAAGCAAUAUGAUAUAAACCCCAUCUUUUUAUCCUCGAUGGCAGCAAUACAAUACGUGCCUUGCAACCCUUUCUGUCACUGGGUAAGGACACCGCAAGAUUGAACCCAAAGCUAAGCACUUCUCCCAUGGCAAGAAAGAUCAAUCUAGUAGGCCAAACCAAACUGAUAAUUCGAAGAGACUUGCAAAGAUAACUCAAUCAUACAUAAAAGAAUUCAGAGGAGAUUCAAAUAUUUCUCAUAGAUAAACUUGAUCAUAAACCCACAAUUCAUCGGAUCUCGACAAACACACCACAAAAAGAGUUUACAUCGAAUAGAUCUCCACAAGAGAGGGGGAGAACAUGGUAUUGAGAUCCAAAAAGAGAGAAGAAGCCAUCUAGCUAAUAACUAUAGACCCGAAGGUCUGUGGUAAACUACUCACAACUCAACGAAGGGGCUAUGGUGUUGAUGUAGAAGCCCUCCAUGGCCGAUUCCCCCUCCGGCAGAGCACCGGCGAAGGCUCCAAGAUGGGAUCUCGCGGAUACAAAAGGUUACGGUGGUGGAAAUUGUUUUUCGUUGGCUCCCUGGAUGUUUUCAGGGUACGUAGGUAUAUAUAAGAGGAAGAAGUACAUCGGUGGCUGCUCGAGGGGCCCAGGAGACAGGGGAGCACGCCCAGGAGGGGUGGGCGCGCCAUCCUAUCUCCUGGCCACCUCGUUUGCUUCUUGACUUGCACUCCAAGUUCUCUGGAUCACGUUCAUUCCAAAAAUCAUGCUCCCGAAGGUUUCAUUCCGUUUGGACUCCGUUUGAUAUUCCUUUUCUUCGAAAUACUAAAAUAGGCAAAAAUCAGCAAUACGGGCUGGGCCUCCGAUUAGUAGGUUAGUCCCAAAAAUGAUAUAAAUGUGUAAAAUAAAUCCCAUAAACAUCCAAAAGGGGUAAUAUAAUAGCAUGGAACAAUCAAAAGUUAUAGAUAAGUUGGAGACGUAUCAAGCACCCCCAAGCUUAAUUCCUGCUCGUCCUCAAGUAGGUAAAUGAUAAAAACAGAAUUUUUGAUGUGGAAUGCUACCUAGCAUAAUAUGUAAUUUUCUUUAUUGUGGCAUGAAUGUUCAGAUCCAAAUGAUUCAAGAUAAAAGCUUAUAAAACAUAAAAAAUAAUAAUGCUUCGAAGCAUACUAACAAAUAAUCAUGUCCUAUCAAAAUAGCAUAGCCAAAGAAAGCUUAUCCCUACAAAAUCAUAUAGUUAGGCCAUGCUUCAUUUUCAUUACACAAAAUACUCCCAUCAUGCACAACCCCGGUUUCAGCCAAGCAAUUGGUUCAUACUUUUUAACGCGCUUCAGCUUUUUCAACUCUUACGCAAUACAUGAGCGCAAGCCAUGGACAUAGCACUAUGGUGGUAUAUGGUGGUGGUUGUGAGGACAAAAAGGGAGAAGAUAGUCUCACAUCAACUAGGCGUAUUAACGGGCUAUGGAGAUGCCCAUCAAUAGAUAUCAAUGUGAGUGAGUAGGGAUUGCCAUGCAACGGAUGCACUAGAGCUAUAAAUAUAUGAAAGCUCAACAAAAGAAACUAAGUGGGUAUGCAUCCAACUUGCUUGCUCACGAAGACCUAGGGCAUUUUGAGGAAGCCCAUCAUUGCAAUAUACAAGCCAAGUUCUAUAAUGAAAAAUUCCCACUCAGUAUAUGAAAGUGACAACAUAGGAAACUCUCUAUCAUGAAGACCAUGGUGCUACUUUGAAGCACAAGUAUGGAAAAAAAUAGUAGCAUUGUCCCUUCUCUCUUUUUCUCUCAUCUUAAUUUUUUUCUCUCUUUUUUUCUCUCUUUUUUUCUCUCUUUUUUUUCUUUUUUUUUCUUUUUUUUCUUUUUUUCUUUUUUUCUUUUUUUUUCUUUUUGGCCUUUCUCCUUUUUUUUGGCCUUUCCUUUUUUUAAAGCCCGAAGUCUCACCCCGACUUGUGGGGGAAUCAUAUCUUCAUCAUCCUUUCCUCACUGAGACAAUGCUCUAAUAAUGAAGAUCAUCACACUUUUAUUGAUUUACAACUCAAGAAUUACAACUCAAAACUAGAACAAGAUAUGCCUCUAUAUGAAUGCCUCCGGCGGUGUACCGGGAUAUGCAAUGAAUCAAGAGCGACAUGUAUGAAAAUUAUGAAGGUGGCCUUGCCACAAAUACGAUGUCAACUACAUGAUCAUGCAAAGAGCAAUAUGACAAUGAUGAGGUAUAUCAUAAUAAACGGAAUGGUUGAAAGUUGCAUGGCAAUAUAUCUCGGAAUGGCUAUGGAAAUGCCAUAAUAGGUAGGUAUGGUGGAUGUUUUGAGGAAGGUAAAUAAUGGGUGCAUGAUACCGGCGUAAGUUGUGCGGUAUAAUAGAGGCUAGCAAAGUGAAGGAUGAGUGUGCGUAUAUCCAUGGACUCACAUUAGUCAUAAAGAACUCAUAUACUUAUUGCAAAAGUCUACUUGCCCUCAAAGCAAAGUACUACUACGCAUGCUCCUAGGGGAAGGGUUGGUAGGAGUUAACCAUCGCGCAAUCCCGACCUCCACUCAUAAGGAAGGCAAUUAAAAGAGCACCUCAUGCAACAAAUUUGUCACACAACUUUUACCAUAUGUGCAUGCUACGGGACUUGCCAACUUCAACACAAGUAUUUCUCAAUUUCAUAAUUACCCACUAGAAUGACUCUAACAUUACUACCUCUAUAUCUCAAAACAAUUAUCAAGCAUCAAAUUGAUCAUAGCAUCCAAUUCACUUCCUAUGAUAGUUUUUAUUAUACCCAACUUGGAUGCCUACCAUUCUAGGACCAAUUUUAUAAGCAUAGCAAAUACCAUAAUGUUCUAAAAGACUCUCAAAAUAAUAUAAGUGAAGCAUGAGAGACUAGAAAUUUCUUCAAAAUUAAGCCACCGCCGUGCUCUAAAAGAUAUAAGUGAAGCACUAGAGCAAAAACUAUCAAGCUCAAAAGAUAUAAGUGAAGCACAUAGAGUAUUCUAGCAAAUUCUAAUCAAGUAUGCUUCUCCCAAAAGGUGUGUACAGCAAGGAUGAUCGUGGUAAACUAAAAAGCAAAUACUAAUAUAAUACACGACGCUCCAAGCAAAACACAUAUAAUGUGGCGAAUAAAAAUAUAGUUCCAAGUAAAGUUACCAAUGAACGAAGACGAAAGAGGGGAUGCCUUCCCGGGGCAUCCCCAAGCUUAGGCUUUUAGCUAUCCUUGAAUAUAUUAGGGUGUCAUGGCAUCCCCAAGCUUAGGCUCUUGCCACUCCUUAUUCCAUAGUCCAUCAAUGCUUUACCCAAAACUUGAAAACUUCACAACACAAAACUCAACAGGAAAUCUUAUAAGCUCCGUUAGUGAAAGGAAAACAAAAUCACCACAUAAGGUACUGUAAUGAACUCAUUCUUUAUUUAUUUUGGUGUUAAACCUACUGUAUUCCAAGUUCUCUAUGGUUCAUACCACUUAAUACUAGCCAUAGAUGCAUCAAAAUAAGCAAACAACACACGUAAAACAGAAUCUGUCAAAAAUAGAACAGUCUGUAGCAAUCUGUAACUAACGCAAACUUAUGGAACUUUAAAAAUCCUACCAAAAUAGGAAGUCCUGGACAAUUUAUGUAUUGAUCAGCAGCAAAAAUAAUCAAUGCAAAAUCAUGUUUCUGUGAUUUAACAAAACUAAUUUCGUGCGUGCGAAGUUUGUGUUUUUCAGCAGAAUCAAAUCAACUAUCAUCAUAGGUUGUCCUAUAGGUUCUACUUGGCACAAACACUAAUUAAGAGAUAAAAACACAUCUAAACAGAAGGUAGAUGAAAAAUUUAUUACUAAACAGGAACAAAAACAAAAAACACAAAUAAAAUUGGGUUGCCUCCCAACUAGCGCUAUCGUUUGACGCCCCUAGCUAGGCAUAAAAGCGAAGAUAGAUCUAAGUAGUGCCAUCUUUGGCACUCAAAUCAUAAGUAGCUCGCAUGAUAGAUUCAUAAGGUAAUUUGACUUUCUUUCUUGGAAAGUGCUCCAUGCCUUUCCUUAAUGGAAAUUGGAAUCUAAUAUUCCCUUCCUUCAUAUCAAUAAUCGCGCCAAUCAUUCUAAGGAAAGGUCUACCAAGAAUAAUAGGGCAAAAAAGAUUGCAAUCUAUAUCAAGAACGAUAAAAUCUAUGGGCACCAAAUUUCUAUUUCAACAAUGAGAACAUCAUUGACCCUUCCCAUUGGCUUUUUAAUGGUGGAAUCCGCAAGGUGCAAAUUUAAAGAGCAAUCAUCAAGAUCAUGGAAACCUAGAAUAUCACAUAAAGUUUUCAUAAUCAUGGAAACACUAGCACCCAAAUCACACAAAGCAAAACACUCAUGAUCUUUAAUUCUAAUUUUUGUAGUAGGUUCCCACUCAUCAUUAAGUUUUCUAGGUAUAGAAACUUCCAAAUUAAGUUUUUCAUCAAAAGAUUGCAUCAAGGCAUCAACAAUAUGUUUGGUAAAAGCUUUAUUUUGACUAUAAGCAUGAGGAGAAUUAACAACGGAUUGCAACAAGGAAACACAACCUUCUAAAGAACAAUUGUCAUAAUCAAAUUCCUUGAAAUCCGAGAUAGUGGGUUCAAUGCUAUUUAAAGUCAUGACCUCUCCAAUCCUACUUUUACAAAAUUUAGCAUCAAGAUCUAAAAACUCUGAAUUCUUGGGACGCCUUCUAACUAAAGUUGACUCAUCUCCAGUCCCAUUAUUAUCAAGAUUCAUAUUGCAAAACAAAGAUCUAAUAGGAGACACAUCAAUAACUUUAAGAUCUCCAUCAUUAUUUUCAUCUAACUUUUCUGGUUUGGCAGCCAUCUUAUUGACUAAGGUAGCUUGCUUAUCAAAAAUUUGGGCUAUAGCAUUCUCAAGCCAGGUAAUUUGAGAGUUCACACCAUAAAAUUCCUUAUUCAUAUCAUCGAGCUCCUUAUUCAUAAACCCCAAAAAACCUUUUUUUUCUUUAAGCUCUUUUCUGAAGAAAUUAUUAUGCUCAAAUUGCAAAGUCAUAAAGCUUCUAAUAUUUGAUUCAAUCUCUCCCAACCUUCUAAGAAGGAGGUCGGUACUCUUAGGCAAGGCCAUAAGUACAAACAGGCACACAAGCAAACAGAAAAAGGCAAGCGAAAAAGAGAGGAGAAGAUUGGGAAAGAGAGGGCGAAUAAAACGACAAGGGUGAAGUGGGGGAGAGGAAAACGAGAGGCGAAUGACAAAUAAUGUAAAUGCGAGGGAGAUGAGUUUGUGAUGGGUACUUGGUAUGUCUUGACUUGAGUGAAGACCUCCCCGGCAACGGCGCCAGAAAUCCUUCUUGCUACGUCUUGAGCUUGGGUUGGUUUUCCUUGAAGAGGAAAGGGUGAUGCAACAAUAGUAGCGUAAGUAUUUCCCUCAGUUUUUGAGAACCAAGGUAUCAAUCCAGUAUGAGGCUCCUCAAAAGUCCCACGCACCUACACAAACAAACAAAGAACUCGCAACCAACACAAUAAAGGGGUUGUCAAUCCCUUCACGACCACUUGCGAAAGUGAGAUCUGAUAAAGAUAGUAUGAUAAGAUAAAUAUAUUUUUGGUAUUUUAUAAUAUAGAUGCAAAAAGUAAAGAUGCAAAUAAAAGUAGAUUGAAAGCUUAUAUGAUAAAAGAUAGACCCGGGGGCCAUAGGUUUCACUAGUGGCUUCUCUCAAGAUAGCAUAAGUAUUACGGUGGGUGAACAAAUUACUAUCGAGCAAUUGAUAGAAAAGUGAAUAAUUAUGAGAUUAUCUAGGCAUGACCUUGUAUAUAGGCAUCACGUCCAUGACAAGUAGACCGACUCCUGCCUGCAUCUACUACUAUUACUCCACACAUCGACCGCUAUCCAACAUGCAUCUAGAGUAUUAAGUUCAUAAUAACAGAGUAACGCAUUAAGAAAGAUGACAUGAUGUAGAGGGAUAAACUCAAGCAAUAUGAUAUAAACCCCAUCUUUUUAUCCUCAAUGGCAACAAUACAAUACGUGCCUUGCAACCCUUUCUGUCACUGGGUAAGGACACCGCAAGAUUGAACCCAAAUCUAAGCACUUCUCCCAUGGCAAGAAAGAUCAAUCUAGUAGGCCAAACCAAACUGAUAACUCAAAGAGACUUGCGAAGAUAACUCAAUCAUACAUAAAAGAAUUCAGAGGAGAUUCAAAUAAUUCUCAUAGAUAAACUUGAUCAUAAACCCACAAUUCAUCGGAGCUCGACAAACACACCGCAAAAAGAGUUUACACCGAAUAGAUCUCCACAAGAGAGGGGGAGAACAUGGUAUUGAGAUCCAAAAGGAGAGAAGAAGCCAUCUAGCUAAUAACUAUAAACCCGAAAGUCUGUGGUAAACUACUCACAACUCAUCGGAGGGGCUAUGGUGUUGAUGUAGAAGCCCUCCAUGGUCUAUUCCCCCUCCGGCGAAGCACCGGCGAAGGCUCCAAGAUGGGAUCUCGCGGAUACAGAAGGUUACAGCGGUGGAAAUUGUUUUUCGUUGGCUCCCUGGAUGUUUUCGGGGUACAUAGGUAUAUAUAGGAGGAAGAAGUACGUCGGUGGCCGCUCGAGGGGCCCAGGAGACAGGGGGCGCGCCCAGGAGGGGUGGGUGCGCCCUCCUAUCUCAUGGCCGCCUCGUUUGCUUCUUGACUUGCACUCCAAGUUCUCUGGAUCACGUUCAUUCCAAAAAUCACGCUCCCGAAGGUUUCAUUCUCUUUGGACUCCGUUUGAUAUUCCUUUUCUUCGAAAUACUAAAAUAGGCAAAAAUCAGCAAUACGGGGUGGGCCUCCGGUUAGUAGGUUAGUCCCAAAAAUGAUAUAAAUGUGUAAAAUAAAGCCCAUAAACAUCCAAAAGGGGUAAUAUAAUAGCAUCAAACAAUCAAAAAUUAUAGAUACGUUGGAGACGUACCAACUUCCUGCCCGCGUUCUUUGACGUCAUGGUGCAUCUGUGUGUCCACGUCAUGGACGACCUCAUCGACCUCGGGUCGACAUUCGUUCAUAGCAUGAUGUCGUUCGAGAGGAUGAAUGGGGUCAUCAAAGGAUUCGUUCAUAACAUGUCCCAUCCCGAUGGGAGCAUCGUCCAGGGGUAUCUGACGCAUGAGUGGAUCUCCUUUUGCGAGAAUUGUAUAGGCACCGGAGACCCUGUUGUUGGUUUGCCCGUCAAGAAGCACGAUGGGAGGCUCGAAGGAGAAGGUGACAACAAUAGCCGGAGGGAAUUGCACGUGGACUACUCGGAUUGACGGAACGACUUUGACAGGGCUAACUUAGUAGUGCUACAACACCUACAUGUGGUAGAUGAUUAUGUGGCAUGGCACAAAGAAAGCAUCGCAAAGAAGUACCGUGAUAAGGGGAUGCUCAAGACGGACGACGAAGUUACUGUAGAGCACAAUGCUACAUUCUUGCGUUGGUUCAAAGAGCAAGUUCUUAAAAAUCCCCCGGAAGAGGUCAGUUUGGAUGGAUUGCUCAUACACACCUUAGCACAUGGCCCAACGCCCAAAACCACGACCUAUCAGUCAUACGAUAUCAACGGGUACAUGUUCUACACGGAGGCCAAAGACAUGGACAGUGAUUACCAGAACUCCGGCGUGACAAUUGAAUGUGUGACCGAUGCCAACGGCACAACUGGAAGAUUCUACGGAAGGGUCGAAGAGAUCUGGGAGCUUGACUAUGCUGGAAUGCUUGAUGCGACGAUGUUUCGUAUCAGAUGGGCUAAGGACGUCGUAAGAGAAAAUAAGUAUUUCACUACCAUGUGUAUACCCGACACGAAGAGCACUCCCGUGAACAUUAACGUCAUUGCCAAAAAUGAGGCAUGAGUACACGCUAAGCAUGUGACACAAUGCUUCUUCAUAACCGACCCGGCCAAUCCCAGCCGCUUUGUCGUGAGGAGAGGCAAAAGGAGCAUGGCUGAAGUCUCUUCUUCGUCUCGAGGCGCCCAGUAUCACACCAAUGCCACCUUCUCAAGAAGGUAUGAACACCACCCCACCUACCAAAUUACCUACACCUGUCGUGGCGGGUGAUAGCAGACAACGCAAGGGAGAGCCUCCAUUAGUGCCAGAUGAUGUCGCCCCCAUUGUCGAAGAAGCAAAUGUUGAUGAUGACAUGGAGGAGGAUGAUGAUGACCCAGACAAGUAUUUCAAUACCGCCUAUGAUGAUGGAGGAUUGAUGGCUCAGGAGGACGAAGACUCGGGCUAUAAUCAUGGAGACGAUGACUUGAUGCUGCCUGAUUUGCCAGAGCCGGAAUGUCCUAAGGCAGAAUGCAAAAAGUCUCUCUUCAAGCGAUCCUCACAGGAGACGCCUCCAGAUUCCGCCUCUACCCAGCAACAACCCGAGGGACAUCCACUGAUUAGCCCAAUGACACUAGGGGGUGGUUAGGGAAGGUAUGGUGGGCUCACUACCGCCACUCACCAAGAAGAAAACGAGGAGACCCGACAGGAAAGGCCCUAAAGGCGCCAGAGUUGCUUCAAGUAGCCAACCGCCUCUGAAGCCUCGGGUGGUAGACAGAAUACCCGUCGAAGGUGCGAAUCGUUUCCAUGUCACCGGCGAACCGAUCCUACCUACGAAAGCGCUAGAGCACAUACUGAACAAUGAUCUAGGAGAUUCCAUGAAGAUCUGCCGGCCAGAGAGAAAAGUCUUCUCAUCUUGGAAAAACCAGGAUACCCGCUUUACGCAGCUCAGGUGCCGGGUGGGAAGUUGUACGUUGAGAGAUGGCCCGCGGAUAAGUUCAUCCUAUGAUUUGACUACAUCUACGACAUGUUCCACAUGACCAAGCUAGAUUUCUAGUUCAUCCGCAUGUAUUCGCCGUAUCUCAACUACUUCAUCAGGAUCGAGAACAUAAAAUAUUUGCAUCGCGGACCCAUACUAUAUGCACGAGAGCUUCUUCGAAGUAUGCAAAGAGCACCGUGACUAUGCGAGCAGGUACAUCACGGACUUCAUGAUUGCUAAUAAGGACAAGGAAGCGAUGCUCCUGCCUUAUCAUCCCACGUAAGUCAUCCACGCAUAUCCUUUCAUAAGUGUGAAUCAUUCCUUUGCAAUCAUGGAGGCUAAUUUGAGGUGUACUUCAUUUGCGCAGUGGGGGGAGUGUCCUCAUCGUUUUGUACUCAGAAUACUCCCAUGCUAUGUACUUGGAAUCAUCGAACAACAUCAAGAAAAAGGAUUACAAGCACAUAAAGAGUGUUCUCGAUAGGGCCCUAUUAACCUUCAGCCUAUCUGGUGGAUAUAUCAAGCUGAAAAAGUACAGGAAGAACGGGGUGGUUUUCGGCCAUAAGACUGACUUCUGCUGCAUCUAGCAACCGCACACCAGUAAGGCUAAUGGAUUCUACCUCAUGCAUCACCUGCUCGAGUACAGAAGGGAUAAUCAACGCCUUCGCAUGUCAGCUACUACCAACAAUGACAAGAUUGUCAACUGGGCCACAAGCAUAGGAAAGACACCGGAUCAUCGAAUCCGAGUUGAGUUUUAUCAUGUACAGUGUGAACUUGCCCGAGUGAUCAUGAAGAAGGUCCUCGAACCAAUAGGGAUAUUCUACCAUGGGCCAAUCACGCAGGAUGAUGUCCGAGCACUGCUUGACGCUUAGUGUCUGGACCUGAAGCCUUUCAAGAAGCUUGGGUGCUUCCUCCCUGACUAUGAAGAUUGGAACGCCGACAUGGAGGACUAAUUGUCGAUGACAAUGUGUCACUACUGUCUUUCUACCGCAAAACUUUGAAUUUAUGCACGGCGAAACUACGUGAUGUAAUUAAAUCGUGGUCCUGAGCUAGCGUAGAUCGCUCUAGUUAAUUAGUUUGGGUAUGAGGAACUUCGUCAUUUAUGUUUACUAUAGCUUGCUUGUAUUUUUCUAAUUAUGCCUCUUUGUUUCCUUAAGUACAUUAUGUUGCAUAUUAUCGUUCAAUUCAUCAACUGAUGAUGCAGGUACAUAGAUCAGAGAUGGUGAAGGACUGCUACACCGUGUUCGUCUGGAGGGUUCCAGGAGUCUACGACCACUGGCCAGACGCUCAGGCCUAGGUGGACAACUACCCGGGUGCUAGCCACAAAGGGUUUGACAGCAAAGCUGAAGCAAAGUAGUUACUUGACGUGGACGCUCCGGCAAGAGCGAGGGCGGGACGCCGGUGCCUCAAGUACUACAUAGUCGCGGUCUUGCUCAUGCUGAUCGCUCUUCUCUUCUACAUCAUGAUUUAGAUAGAGAUGAUGAAACUUGUGCGUGUGACAUGACCAUGCAGUUGCACUUAUUCGAGACAUGACAUGACUUGUGUAUCGCUAUUUUUGAGAUGUGAUGAUAUUUUUGUUGAAUGAUGAUGAUGAUGACGGUAUGACGAGACUAUUGUAUGUGUAUGAUAUGAUGAGAAUAGUGUAUGUUUAUUGUGAUCUGAUGAAACUACUGUAUAAAGCCUAUACAAAUACAUCACAAAUACGUAGAGGAGGUAUGAGUCUAUGAAAGCAGGAGUAUUAGCAGUAGCGCUUGACUUUCUACAGCGAGAUAGUUAGCAGUAGCACUGGUUAGUGCAGCGCUACUGGUAACCAUACUUUGCAGCAGCACUGCACCAACCAGUGCUACUACUACAACUUAGCUGUAGCGUGUUAGCAGUAGCGCUGGACCUAGCGCUACUGAUAUAUGUAUUUCAAGCGCUACUACUGGGUUUUCCCUAGUUGUGUUAGCAAGGUUAUCUCUAGUCAUGAAUUUGUUGUGUGAGAGAAGCCAUAGAAAAACUUGCACCCUAGAGGAACCACAAUAGACCAAACAGAGGGUAUGUAUAUAUCCCCUAAAGUUUAUUAUACUAUACAAAGAUCUAGUGGUGUAUUUUCCCUUGGAAUCAUGUUGCCAGACAAGGUCAUCUUCAUCGCAUAGGAAGUUGGUACUCAAAAUGAUUUGCUCAUGGUGUUGGAAGUAUGCCCUAGAGGCUAAUUUAGAGUUAAUAUUCUAUGCCAUAACUGCUAUGAUCCUUGAAUAUGCGAUUCAGUGGAAAACUCAUAUGCACGUAUAUAAUGAUAAAUGGUAAAAUAAGAUUCCUAGUCACGCCUCUAAGACUUGCUCAAGUGUUGUUGGUGAUCACGUUUCCUAGAUCUUGAGAUAUUGUUAAGUGUGUAAGGAUAUUCUCAAAACAAUCUUGAGGGUAUGCCGUAAGAAGAACGAUCAUAUUGAAUCGACCCAAACUUGUUUGUUAUACUUUGAGAUAAUAUAGUCAUAAGUCAAUUGCUAUAACUCGGACUGUUAACUUGCGAUUUUAGUUCCCUAGACCAUGAGAGUAUCGUAGUCACUUCUUAUCGUACGAUGAGCUUUGGGGUUGCUCAAACGUCAUCAGUAAUUUGGUGAUCAUAAUGACAACUUACAGGUUCAUCAGAAAGUAUGACAAGUGAAAUGAUAGCUCAAGAGUGGAAUUUGCUCCGCUGACGAUGGAGAGAUAUUCUUAGGUCCCUCUCGAUGUAACAACAUCCAUCAUCGUCUGGCCAAACACAUGUCACUUCCUCACGGGGAUGCCGGAACACGAUAAGAAGAAGGAAGAACAAAACCGGCAAUGUGGAGACCGGUAUAGUGAGCAUGUGUAUGACUCAAGAGUAUAACAAUAUAUCUCUCGGGUUUUGUAAAGUAUAGAGAAGCAAAGGAAACAUCGUGCGAUAACCAAAGGUUCAAUUCAAUGUCAUUCGUGUAAUCAUAGGGAUCGAUAUGGACGUCCACGGUUCCGCUAUCAGUCAUUGAACAAAGGGGUUUCAUUAAUGUCUAUGGUUUACGGAACCUAUAGGGUCACAAGCUUAAGGUAAUCACGAUCCGAUGAGUGUUAGUAGGACAAGAGUAUCGGGGAUUUAAUUGUGAAAUAGUUUCUUUAAUAUCCGGAAUAGUUCCUAGAGGAACCGGAAGCAUUUCGGGGUCAUCGGAAGAGUUUCAGAGUUUAUUGGGCAAUACCGGUAUUACUCAUAUAUAAUAUGUAGGUGGAAAAUGUUCCUACUGAUGUUAAAUUAUAUAUAAAAGGCUCUAGUAAUUUUUGGAGGGCUUUAUAAUUAUUUAAAUAUCAACGNNNNNNNNNNNNNNNNNNNNNNNNNNNNNNNNNNNNNNNNNNNNNNNNNNNNNNNNNNNNNNNNNNNNNNNNNNNNNNNNNNNNNNNNNNNNNNNNNNNNNNNNNNNNNNNNNNNNNNNNNNNNNNNNNNNNNNNNNNNNNNNNNNNNNNNNNNNNNNNNNNNNNNNNNNNNNNNNNNNNNNNNNNNNNNNNNNNNNNNNNNNNNNNNNNNNNNNNNNNNNNNNNNNNNNNNNNNNNNGGAACCCAACUCCUCCUUCCCUUGGUCGGCUCCCCAAGGAGGCUUUCCCUCCUUGCUGGCUGCCCUUCUCUCUCCCCCACUAGUGGAGGUAUUGCCCCUUUUCUUCAUACAAGUUUUACCUGCCUCCCUAGCCCAAUACUACUAGUUCUAAUUCAGAUAAUUAGAGCUAGAUCUAGUUCCUCUAAUCCUUAUAAUUAGAAGCCUUGAGUGGCUCUAAUCUUCUCUAAUUCUCUGGCGGCAAUUAGUUCUGGACGGUGAAGCGCUGCCGGAUCGUGAAGGUCGUAUGCUUGCAAACUGUAGAGGGGUCGUGCUUUCGGUCUUCAGUUCGAGGCGGUUCGCGGGAUCGUUCAUUAAUAGUUCGAGGGACUCCAAGUACAAUCUACACCGACUCGUCUGGUUCCGCUGCAUACUUGGAGUUGGUAAUGAUCAUGAUUCAAUUCCCUAAUGCACCUUCAUAUUGUUCCCGGGUGUCGGAAGGCCAAUUUGUUUUAUACUACGUUCCCCAACACAAGGCACAACUUUCCAUCAUGACAGCGUGAAGACCCACCCCUCCCCCACCCACCCACCCCCCGUGCGCGAAGUCAACCUGAUGGUAUUUUUAUCCUAGGCAUGUACUAGGGUCACACCAUGUUGAUGACAAAUUAAAGGGGCCAGAAUUGUACUGAUAAUGCAGAUGUGCCAAAGCAUAUAUCUUCCCAAAAUCCGAUUAUCCUACCAUCUCAAACCACCCAUGUGUAGCCUUGUUUAAGUGAUUUGGCAGCCCACAUGACUCCUUGUCAAAAUUUAGAGGGGUUUUGUGUGGUACAAGAAAACAUAUUAGGCGUGUUCCUUAUGUACUUAACAUCUACUAUUCAUCUCCAAUUUCCCCCCUCAUCUUUUAUUUAUCUCUUGACCCAGCUUCCAAGGAGGCAGAGAUUUACAUGUCUGAUGUUUGGCACUCCUAAUCGUCCAUAUUUUUAUUUCAUACAAACUAAGUUCCAAUUGGAAAUGUAUAAUUUUCUAUUUCCUUCAAAGUCACUCCAAAGGCACUGAGCUAGUUGGCUAUUUAUUAGCUUCGAAGCCCACUUGGGGAACUUUUUGGGCCAUCUUAUCUGACAAAUAGACCCAACGACAUUGUCAGAUCAAACUCCGGAUUAAUCCUACAUGACCACAUUAUAGAUCAACCCUACUAUAGGUCCACUAUCGAGUCACGGGCUUGCAGCACAACCUCAAUCAAAAGUGCUUUAGCUUGUUGUACCUUGUUACAGCGCCGCCGUCUCAGCACCUUCCGGAAAACCUGCAGCAACAUCUCAAAAAUAUUUGUUUUGAAAGUUGUCGAUAGAACUUGAAGAGCUUGCCAACAAAGAGGACCACACGAGUCCUAGUAUCAGGUGACACUUAGUGUUUAAUGGAUCCGAAUAGCAAUUAGUGUUUAGUGGGUCCGACAAAAUAAUAGCUUUUAUUAAAAAUAUAUAUUAAAUGUAUGUAUCUACCGUAUAAUAAAUAAAUAGGACAUCAAAUGAGCUCUGAAUUAGAUGAAAUUUUAGGUGUAGCCUCUCUAGGCUAUAAUGAGACCACACAGAAAAUAAUCAAACCAUUUGGAGAAUUUUUAAUUUUUGUUUGAAAUUAAAUUACAAAAAUGACAUAAAUGUGAUUUGAACUAGGGCUGUGUGCAAGACUUGUGCAAAAAUUGUGAAAUAUUUUCUGGGGCUUUCAAAUAUUAUACAAAGUCCAUGUGAAAAGUUGGGACUCUUAUCUUAAUGUACAAGGACAAAAGGGAAAAUGGUUUUGGUAAAACCCAAAUAAAUUAAACGGUAAAAUAAUUUGCUUUUAUGUGUUUGAUAUUUUUGUUAUGCGUGUUGAGAAUAAUGCAUAGUGAAAUGAUGGCAUCAUGUCAUGAUGAUGCAAAAUAAAAUAACAGACAUUUAUUUUAGUUAAGGAAUUAGUCUAUUCUAUUACAACCAUCUAAAAAUUUCUCUAUGGAUGGCGCAUUAGCUGCAAAAGUACCCUUCUACUCCCGAGCUCAAAUAGCUCGGGAUGAACAGUAAAUUCUGAAACCAAAAAAAAUCUCAAAGUUUUUUGGUGCAAACUUUCACAAAUGUUCUCAGUGCAUGGAAAUUUUCAGCUCGAAACAACACUUGUAGAACGCGUGGCAAAAGAAAAAAAAAUCAGCACCCCAAAAUGCUUUCAAAAAUAUCAUUUUUGGAGAUUCGAUUUUGUUUUUUACCACGACUUCUAGGAUUGUUGUUUUAUAAUAAUUUUUUGCAAGCACAUUUGUCAAAGUUUGCACUAAAAAAACAGUUUUUUUAUUUUUUUUGUACUAUUUUUUUGAUUUUACUGUUUAUCAGGGUGCAUUUGAGCUCGGGUGUAGAUACUUCGUGUCCCAUUAGCUGAGAAAAUAACUAGCCCUCUUCUAGCGCAACAAAACUCAAUCUUCCUUUCAUGUACGUGCAUGACUUUAAUGUAAAACUGGUAACUCCUUCAAGGUUGACUAUGAAUCGACUCCUACGCACGGUAGCUCGUGGGAGCGGGCAACACAUGCUCGAAGGCGCUCCUAUAGGUCCAAGGUUGCCAGAAUCAUGAUUUAGAAUCGGAUAGGAACUCCGAUGGUAGGAUUGUAAAUCAUAGAAGCUGAACUAUCAUCAUCGUAGAAACGUAGAUUCCAUGAACUAGAAUCGCAAAAUUGGAUGGGUUAAUUUGGAUCGUAAAAUCGUAUAAUAGAAUCGCGAUUCUCACAACCUUGGAUAGGUCUACUGGCUACCGCAUGCAAGCGCAUUUUUCUUAGACAAACUCUAGCAAAGUAGUCAUAUUUGGAGCCUCUAUAUCCAUAGCGCGCUCCAUAUGGAUUAUGGAGGUCACCAAGGAAAAUCGCACAAAGUCAGAAUCCUCAUAUUUGUUGCCUCUAUAACCAUGGGACCCACUCAUCUAUGGGACAUUCCUUUUUUCCCAAGCUUCUUGCAAUCCCACGUGAGGUGGGGAGCACCUAAAGUUUCCUUCCCAUCACACGGAACGAGAGGUAAUUUUCAUAUGGAGCACGCUCCAAAAGGCAGCCCCGAGACACCAUAUAUGACAUGCUAGAUAUGGAGGGUACUCCAUAAAAUAUAAAUGAUCCCUGACAAGAUGGAAACUUUGCCAGAGGGCCUUUUUGACCAAAGUUUCCAUAAUAGAGAUUAUUAUGGCGAUCGGUCAUAUAUAGCCACUCUCAUAGAAUUUCUCUUAAAGGUGCCACGUGAGUCUCUCACGUUCUGUGGCAUGUAGAACUGGUAACCGACAUGUUAGGCUACACAUGUUUUCCCACUGCACAAUGUGCUUCAGUUGUCUGUCACAUGGUGGUGCUGGAUUGUGGGUUAUGCGGUCUACCCUUAAAUUCACCAUAUUUGUGGUACCGCUAACAAUUGCAUAUUAAGCCGAGAGGGUAGGAACCUAUUUAUGGACUAUAUUUGCGCCACAAAAGUACGGAUGCCAUGAGUUAUGUCAUGGAUCAUGAUUAAACACGACAGUUCUAUGAGUCUAAUAUUAUAGUCUCUAGCAUACCUGUGCGAGUUAUGUUCAUGAUCACUUUGCGUAUAUGAGAUUAAGUUCCAAUCCAAGCAUGUGGGUCAACACCUUGCAGAACUAACCCUGCAAAACGAACCCAACUCUUCCACCAUGAUUGUAAACGUAUAUACAUAUUAAUUUCACUAGAGUCAACCUCAAGUAAUUCCUCUAUUGUAUUCCAGCACAGUUCUCCUCGACACCUCCAGUAUUGCUUCCACAAAUAAAAUUACAUCUACAUCGGCACCUCAAGUAUUACUUGUCGAGUAUAAUUUUGCAUCUAUUAUUCUCCAUCAUGUACAUCAAUAAUAUGAACAAUCCAAAUCGAGUUUAAUAAAUAAUAACCAUGUUGAAUCAAUGUUGGAAGUCACAAAAAUACCCCACAAAGGAUGCUGUUUUUCUAGUCUUUCUUCGCAUGAUAGUUUACAAAAUUAUAUAAGUUUGAAAUUUCAAAAUAAUUUUGAAAGUUGAAAGUGUUUUAAAAGAAAAUAAAAUGAAAGUCAAGAUUUCUGAAAUUUAUUUUUGAAAGUACAAAUUUGGAAUGCAAUUUUUUUGAAAUUUCAAAGAUCCGGAGCAGACACACCGUCCACGAUCUAGCUCACAUUGUUGUGGUCGUCCUCCUCUUGCACGCAGCUCCAACAAGUAAUCGCUCAUGUAGUCACGUCCAUGUUGGUCAUGCACUAGCUCGCAUGUGUCGCCGCGUCAUCAGGGAAAGUAUCCCGCAACAACGAUGGCCACCAGACCAUAUCCCACACCAAUUUGACCACAUACCGCAUGCGACGCCAUGAAAAAACCAUGGCACCCAUGGGUUUUGCCUCACAGCGUCCUACGGCGAUGGGAAGGAGGAGAAGCAGUGGGACGGGUGAAUUGCUAGGUUGGGGCGCCAAAUCAAUGCCUCUUUGAUACUCAAAACGCCGGGAUAGAAAAAAAAUCAAGGAUUGUAGUGACAUGUCAUCUUGAAUCCCGCCGAAUUAGAAAACUAGGAGAAUUCGGAUAAAAUAGUGUUUGAUGCCACCAUAAAAGCAAAGGAAAUAUACCAAGAGAUUUUAGUGGAUGCGUAUUUUUCUCCAAAAUAAAGUGCUAAUGAAUUCUAAGGAAAAUUACUACGCAUUUCAAUCCUAUGAAUCGAGUAGCCAACAGAGAAAAAAAAUCCUAUAAAAUUCUUUGAAUGAAAGCACUUGCCCUCUCGUAUGCUUGGUCUAGUUACGUUCGUUGUCGUCACAUGCCGACACUUUCGAUCUGCAUCUCCUUAAGGCUUAAGCAAACAAUACCAUUUUUGCAAGUGAAAAAAAGGAUCACAUGUUUUUGGGGGAAUCAUCUUCUUCCCGGACGAGGACGAAUGAGGUGGGACGUGGAGACCGGGACGCGCCCGCUGCCUUCCGAGGCCCGGCUCCUCUAGUCGGCAGCCACCUGCCGACCAACUCAUGCAAGCACACGUAGCGCCCCUGCCACGGCGAUUCGUCCAUCUGACCACCCCUCAUUAUGGGCUAGUCGGCAGUCACCUGCCCAUCCACUCACGAGAGAACACGUCGUGCUUCAUCUAUCCUCUGACGGCCUAUAAAUAGUGCCUCGUGGAGCACCUGCUUCACAGUUCACACAACACCACCUGCUCCAAGUAAACACUAAACAGCAGCACUAGUAGAUUUCCCGAGUGACAAGUUUGGCGCAGGAUGGAGCACCAGGGACACGGCACCGGCGAGAAGAAGAGCAUCAUGAGCAAGAUCAAGGAGAAGCUCUCCAGCAGCCACGGUGAUCACCAGCAGGCCGCUGCCACCCACGGGCAGCAGGGACACACCACUACGGCCAUCGAUGGUGCCUACGGGCAGCACGGACACACCGGAGCCACCGGCACUGGGAUGCACGGCGCCGACACGGGCGAGCAGAAGAGCGUCGCGGAGAACAUCAAUGACAAUCUCCCUGUCGGCCAUGGGGACCACCAGCAGACUGGUGGCACCGACGGGCAACAGGGACACACCGCCGCGGCGACGCAUGGUGCCUCAGCCAUCGGCGGCACCUAUGGCCAGCAGGGUAACACCGGUAUGGGGACACUUGGCGCCCCGGCCGCUGAUGGUGCGUACGGGCAGCAGGGACACACUGGGGCCACCGGCACGGCGAUGCACGGCGGCGGCACGGGCGAGAAGAAGGGCGUCAUGGAGAACAUCAAUGACAAGCUCCAUGGUGGUCAUGAGGACCACCAGCAGACUAGUGGCACCUACGGGCAGGAGGGACACACUGAUGCGGCGACGCAUGGCGCCUCAGCCACCAGCGGCACCUAUGGGCAGCAGGAAAACACCGGUAUGGGGACACAUGGCGCCCCUGCCACUGAUGGUGCCUAAGGGCACCACGGACACACCGGGGCCAUCCGGACGGAGAUGCACGGCGCCAACACAUGCGAGAAGAAGGGCGUCAUGGAGAACAUCAAUGACAAGCUCCCUAGUGGCCAUGGGGACCACCAGCAGACUGGUGGCACCUACGGGCAACAGGGAUACACCAAUGCGGCGACGCAUGGCGCCUUACCCACUGGUGGCACCCAUGUGCAGCAAGGAAACACUGGUACGGGGACAUAUGGCGCCCCGGCCACCGAUGGUGCCUACAGGCAGCACGGACACACAGGGGCCACUGGCACGAGGAUGCACGACACCGACACCGGGGAGAAGAAGGGCAUCAUGGAGAACAUCAACGACAAGCUUCCUAGUGGCGACGAAGACCACCAGCACACCGCUGGCACUUACGGGCAGCAGGGACAAACAGGCACGACAAUGCAUGGUGCCUCAGCCACGGGCGACACCUAUGGCCAGCAGGGACACACCGAAAUGUCCGGCACGGGGACGCACGCAUCAGCCAGAAAAAGGACGUGAUGGAGGACAUCAAGGCCAAGCUCCCAGGUGGCCAUGAUGAUCGCCAUCAGACCGGUGACACCUAUGGGCAGCAUGGACACACCAACACUGCAAUACAUGUCACCCUUGCCACCGGCGACACCUAUGGGCGGCAGGGACACACCAGGAUAACCGACAUGGGAACAUACGGCACCGGCGAGAAGAAGGGCGCCAUGGAGAAGACCAAGGAGAAGCUCCCCAGUGGCCACGGUGACCACCAACAGACUGGUGGCACCUACGGGAGCCAGGAAGACACCGAAAUGACUGGAAUGGGGAUGCAUAGCACCAAGGCCACAGAUGGCACAGAUGGUCAGCAGGGACACACCGGAAUGACUGGGAUGGCGUCACACGACACCGACGAGACGAAGGGUGUCAUGGAGAACCUCAAGGGGUGUUAGACUAGGUAUAUUGUAGAUCUACGUGUUGUAACACAAUACAUGUACCUGUACGUUCUUUCUUAUAUAUACAUGACAGUCGUACCCGUUUAGGGUAUCGAGCAUUGUUCCAAACCCUAGCUUUGUCUAACAUGGUAUCAGACGACGCGUUCGAUCCGCGCCGUGCUUUCGCCUCCUCUGCCGCCGUCGCGUCGGCCUCCGCCGCCGUGCCGCCUCCGUCAACCCUGGCGAUGGACUCGCCGUUCAUGGCGUCCGCACCACUCGCCUGGGCCCGUCCGGGAUCGCAGCACCCGCCUGCGUCCCGAUCGCCCGCGCCCCGAUCGGGCGAGAUUCCAUCUGGCGAUCCAGCUGGUGCUCCUGUGCAGUCGAUGUACGCCGGGACUCAGCUCCCCCCUCGAUGCAUCUGGCGCUCGGACUACGUCGCGGCUGCCCUAUGUUGCGUCCCAGUUGCAUGCUGCGGCGCCUCCGUUGCAUGAUGCGUCGGCCGCCUCCGGUUCCCAUGCAACAUCGCUACACUCUGGGCCUGCAUUGCAUGCUGUGGCGCCCGCCUCCGGUUCCCAUGGUGCCCCCGUACAGAUGCCCUACGGUGGCCCAUAUCCAGCACCGUACGUCGCGCCGUCGCCGUCGCCGUACGUCGCGCCGGUGCCGUAUGAUUCGUCCUCCGCGGUGCCCUACGAGGUUCCGUAUGGAGCGCCCUAUGCUGCCCCGGUGCCGUACGUUGCGUCGCUGCAGCCCUACGGCGUACCUCCUACGGCGCCCUACGGUCAUCACCAACACUACCGUACACCUCCGUUGGCCGAUGCGCUGAUUUCGUACAGUGCUCCGCCGACGUACGACUCGUAGCUCUCCGCACCGGUGGCUGAACCAGGACCGUUCCACUUAGCUCUCUGCCGACAACUACCUCCUGUGGCGUGCUCAGGUGUUGCCGCUGCUGCGUAGUCACUACCUUGAGGGGUAUGUCGACGGUACACUGCCGUGUCCCCCGGCCAUGGUUCCGGUGCCCUCAGCCGCUGGUGUCUCCGUCAUGGUGUCCAACCCUGCUCAUCGUCGGUGGAUCGCUCAGGAUCAAGCUAUUCUUGGUGCCAUUCAGUCCUCGCUCACUCCCUCCGUGGCCGGCAUGGUGGUCUUUGCCGCGACGUCGAGGGAUGCAUGGGCCACGCUCGACUCCAGCUUCUCCUCGCAGUCGCUGGCCCGUUCCUCUGCCAUUCGUAAUCAGCUGGGCGAGGUCAAGAAAAAUGAUCUCUCCGUCACGGUCUUCUUCAACAAGGUCAAAAGUUUGGCUGAUACACUGUCGUCUAUUGGAAAGCCUCUCCGUGACGAGGAGUUUACUUCGUUCAUUCUCAAUGGACUUGAUGAGGACUACGACUCUCUUAUUGAAAAUAUCAAUGGACGUGACAUGCCGAUGCCGCCUCGCGACCUCUACGUGCGCCUCCUCAACACCGAACAACGCCUAGCUGCUCGCCGCUCCGUCGGCGUCUACACAGAGGGCCCUUCUGCGAACGCUGCACUUCGCGGGGGUGCCCGUGGUGCCAAGCAGAAGGCGCCGCCGUCCGUGGGCAAUCAGCCCCGUUCGUCGGCUCCACCUCCUCCGACGGCUGGUCGCAAGAGGUUGGCGCUGCGAGUCAUGCGGUGGUGACGUUGAGUGUCAACUCUGCAGCAUCGAGGGGCAUUUGGCGUCUCGCUGCCAUCGCCGCUUCAAACGCGACUUCCUUGGCAUUGGGAACAACGGGAAAGGCAAUGAGAAACAAGCUGCUCUCGCUACACAGGAGCCUGGGUUCACUCCUUCUUAUUCUGUGGAUCCGUCCUGGUACAUGGACACCGGUGCCACCAAUCAUCUGACGAGCCAGCUCGACAAGCUGGCUACUCGCCAGCACUACACUGGUCAUGACCAGGUCCGUACUGCCAGUGGAUCAAGUAUGCCCAUCUCACAUGUUGGUCAGGCAUCUCUUCUUUCACGUACCACUAAAACCUUGUGUCUCCUUGAUGUUCUUCGUGUUCCUUCAGUCACACGUAGUUUGCUCUCGGUUCCUAAAUUAACUCGUGACAACAAUGUGCUUGUUGAGUUUCACCCUUUUUAUUUUUUUGUUAAGGACCGGGACACGAGGGACGUUCUUCUUAGUGGUCGAGCUCGCCAUGGCCUAUAUGCUCUUGAUGUGCCGCCUGUUUCUGAAGUUUUCAGUGGUGUUCGGGUGUCGUCGUCGCAGUGGCAUUCUCGCCUCGGUCAUCCUGCCACUCCCAUUGUGUGACAUUUGCUUCAUCGCCAUAGUCUUCCAGUUGAGUCCAGUAAUAAGGAGUUUCUAGUGUGUGAUGCCUGUCAACAGGGCAAGAGUCAUCAGCUACCUUUCUCUGUAUCGAGUCGUGUUGUCAAGGCUCCUCUUGAACUUGUGUUUUCGGAUGUGUGGGGCUAUGCCCAAACUUCUGUUAGUGGUCACAACUAUUAUGUUAGUUUCAUUGAUGCCUUUAGUCGCUUUACUUGGAUUUAUCUCAUUAAGUGCAAAUCUGAUGUGUUUCAUGUUUUUAUGCAAUUUCAAGCCCAUGUUGAGAGGUUUCUUAAGUGCAAAAUUAUUCAUGUUCAGUCUGAUUGGGGGGGGGCGAAUAUCGCAACCUUAAUACUUUCUUCACGAAACUUGGCAUCUCGCAUCAUGUGUCUUGUCCUCAUACACACCAGCAGAACGGUGCAGCUGAGCGCAAGCACCGUCACAUAGUUGAAACUGGCUUAACACUGCUCGCACAUGCCUCUGUUCCAUUCCGGUUCUGGAGUGAUGCUUUUGUUACUGCUUGUUUUUUGAUCAACAGGCUACCCACACGACUUCUUCACAUGAAAUCUCCCCUAGAGGUUUUACUUCAUGAGACUCCAGAUUACUCUCUUCUCAAAGUGUUUGGUUGUGCGUGCUGGCCACAUCUUCGGCCGUACAACAAGCACAAACUCGAGUAUCGAUCUAAGAAGUGUGUGUUUCUCGGAUACAGUCCUCUUCACAAAGGUUAUAAGUGUCUCCACAUUCCGACGAAUCGUGUUUACAUUUCUCGUGAUGUUGUAUUCGAUGAGACUGUUUUUCCUUUUUCCACACUGUCACCUUCCACCGAUACCACCGCUACUGAGCUGCACUCCUUUCCAGUUUUGCCUGACCAAUUUGUAGAUGCUGCAUAUUCUCCUCUGUUGUUGCCUAACCAUGGUGCAGGAACUGGACGGGGUGCUCGCCUUGAGCUUCUUCAUGACGACGUGGUUGCUACGGCACCAACUGCAGUUUUGCCGCCGGACGGGUCGCUUGACUCUGCGCUUGAUGACGACCACCACGAUGAUUGCACGUGCAUGCCCCAUGCACGUGGAUCAGGUGGUGUGGCCACCUCACCUAGCCCGGCUGCUAGCCCGGCUGGGUCUCCAGUUCGGCCACCCGAGCCGGCUGCUACCGCAGUUCGGCCGCUCGAGCCGCCAACCUCCACGGCCUCUGCCCCGCGUGGGUCGUCCUCGCCUGGUCCGCCUUCACCGACCACUCCGGGCCCAACACCGCCGCGCCCGUCUUCGCCGGUCUCUCCGGCGCAUGCAGACCCUGUGGCAUCUCCUUCGGUAGAGUCUGUGGACUCGCCUACUGCUGUGGCUUCUCCAACACCUCCGCCGCCUGUCGUACUGCGCCCUCAUACGUGCAGCAAGAGUGGCAUUGUCAAGCCUGUCCAACGCACAGAUGGUACGGUCGCAUGGCUUGCGGCCUGUGUUGCUCGUGCUGAGGCCGAUCCUACGGUGGAACCGCGACAUUUUCAGGCAGCGCUUGGCAUUCCACACUGGCACGCUGCUAUGGAACAGGAGAUCCAUGCUCUUCGGAAGAAUAAUACUUGGCGUCUGGUUCCUCCUCCUUCCAGUGUCAAUGUUAUUGAUUCCAAAUGGGUGUUCAAGGUGAAGAAACAUGCUGACGGGUCCAUUGAGAGGUACACGGCACGACUGGUGGCCAAAGGAUUUAAACAAAGGUAUGGCCUUGAUUAUAAAGAUACGUUUAGUCCUGUUAUCAAGCCCACGACUAUUCGUGUUCUUCUUUCGCUGGCUGUUACUCGAGGAUGGUCGCUUCGUCAGCUCGAUGUCCAGAAUGCCUUCCUUCAUGGAGUUCUGGAAGAAGAGGUAUAUAUGCGUUAGCCCCCGGUUUUGUUGACCCUGCUCAGCCACAUCAUCUGUGUCGCCUCGACAAGGCUCUUUAUGAUCUGAAGCAGGCUCCUCGUGCGUGGCAUGCACGUCUUGGCGCUGCUCUUCGUGCACAUGGGUUUGUACCGUCUACAGCAGACACAUCUCUUUUCAUUCUUCAGCGACCUGAGGUGACUAUGUACAUUCUGGUCUAUGUUGAUGACAUCAUACUUGUCAGUUCAUCAGUCACUGCUGCAGAUCGGCUUGUGGCUUCUCUAGGGGCUGUUUUUGCUGUUAAGGAUCUUGGGAGACUGCACUAUUUUUUGGGUUUGGAGGUUCUUCAUUCUGACAGUGGCUUGACUCUCACUCAGCAGAAGUACUCUCAGGAUCUGUUGCGACGUGCAGGUCUGAUGCAGUGUAAACCUGCUACGACUCCUAUGUCCUCCACAGACAAAUUAUCAGCUUUUGAUGGGGACUUGCUCUCUUCUGAGGAUGCCACUGAGUACCGCAGCAUCGUUGGUGGACUGCAAUACUUGCUCGUCACUCGGCCAGAUAUUUCAUUUGCAGUUAACCGUGUGUGUCAAUACCUUCAUGCACCGCGUGAUCCUCAUUGGACGGCGGUUAAGCGCAUUUUGCGCUAUGUUCGACACACAGCUUCGUAUGGUCUCCAUUUGCAGCCUGCGGCUUCUGGUUUGAUCUCAGCCUUCUCUGAUGCUGAUUGGGCUGGUAGUCCCGAUGAUAGGCGAUCCACUGGGGGACAUGCUGUGUUCCUUGGUCCUAAUUUGAUCGCCUGGCAAGCUCGAAAGCAAGCUACCGUGUCUCGGAGUAGCACUGAAGCUGAGUACAAAGCAGUUGCUAAUGCCACAGCUGAGAUCAUAUGGGUUCAGUCAUUGCUUCGAGAGUUGAAGGUCUUUCAAGCCCAGCCGCCUGUUCUUUGGUGUGAUAACAUCGGUGCUACAUAUCUUUCAUCCAAUCCGGUAUUUCAUGCCCGAACGAAACACAUUGAAGUUGACUAUCAUUUUGUGAGAGAACGUGUUGCACAGAAGCUACUUCAAAUCAAGUUUGUUUCUUCUAAGGAUCAGCUUGCUGACAUUUUCACUAAACCCUUGUCCUUGCCCUCUUUUGAAGGAUGUCGACGCAAUCUUAACCUCAUGAAUGUUUCAGGACAUAGUUAAGAUUGAGGGAGGGUGUUAGACUAGGUAUAUUGUAGAUAUACGUGUUGUAACACAAUACAUGUACCUGUACGUUCUUUCUUAUAUACAUGACAGCCGUACCCGUUUAGGAUAUGGAGCAUUGUUCCAAACCCUAGCUUUGUCUAACAAGGGGAAGCUCCCCGGCGGCCAUGAUGACCACCAGCAGACUACUCGCACCAACGGGCACCAUGUUGGCACGGGGACGCAUGACAACCCUGCCACCGAUGACACCUAUGGGCAACAUGAACACCCCGGAGUGACCGGCACAGAGGCAUACAGCACCGGCGGCACAGGCGAGAAGAAGGGCAUUGUGGAGAAUACGAAGGAGAAGCUCCCCGGUGGCUACAAUGACCGCCAGCAAACCGGUGACACCUACGGGCAGCAGGGACACACCGGCACUAUGACGCAUGGCACCCCGUCCACCUGUGGCACCUACGGGCAGCACGGACACGCCGGACUGACCGACAUGGGAACCCAGGGCACCGGCAGCACCGACAAGAAGGAUGUCAUGGACAACAUCAAGGAGAAGCUCCCUGGUGGCCACGGUGACCACCAGCAGACCGCUGUCACCUACGGGCAGCAUGGACACACUGGAAUGACUGGCACGGAGACGCAUGGCACCACGGCCACCGACGACGGGAAGCAAGGACACAACGGAACAACUGGCACUGGGACACACGGCACCGACGGGACCGGUGAGAAGAAGAGCCUCAUGGAAAAGAUCAAGGAGAAGCUGCCUGGACUGAACUAAGCCCGGUAUGCCUAAGGCCGCUACCUUUGCAGAAUAAUACUCCAC
rnacentral:lncRNA from 1 species